rnacentral:lncRNA from 1 species
AUGUUAUACCGGUAGAGAGCGUAACAGGAUCCUUCAUAAUCUCUAGACUGAUGGGGCAGAGAAAGUAGGAUGGAAUUUCAAUUUCAUCCAUAGAAGAAGAAGUAAUUACAAAGAUUUGAUAAACCUAAGAUCUGAUCCAAGAAAAAGGUGAUUAUACAAUUUUAAGCAAGAAAAUUAAACUGUAGAGAAGUACAAAAAUUUUGUAAGCUAUAGAUGAAAAUCGAAGAAAGUGAAGUUCUUGUGGAGUUGAGUGGAUUGGUUUAAGGAGGAUAUGGUUUUAUAUGUUUCUAUAAAGAGAGGUAAAGAUUCAAAAUGUCAAAGUCAAAACACGGAAAAUUUUGUGUGUUCAGUUUGUGUGAAGGAAAGAGUAUUAUUGUUUUUUUUUUUUAUUACAACAAAUAAAAUUUGGACUUGGACUUUUCUAACAUGCAAUUUGCAAAUGACAACUUAACAAAUAAUUUUCUUAUUUAAAAUUAAAACACGUGAUUAAGUCAUGUUUAAUUACCAUGAAGGAGUAAAACAGAAGAAUCUGAGUUUGGAGAAGUUCAAUUUUGGUUUAAUUAGUUCACGAAAGUAACUUCGACCCGUUAUUAUUAUAAUUAUUUUUAAUUAGUUCACGAAAGUAACUUUGACGUAGAUUUAUUUGGAAUGAAUUGAUCUUGUAGUAUUUUUAUCUUAACUAAAAGAAAAAUUGCUAAUCUAUGAGGUGAGUUGUCGAAAAUAAAGUAUAGAGAAAUAAAUUUAUUUCCUCUUUAAAAGUUUCAAGAUAAGAUAAUUCAAUGUCGAGUAUUGUGUUUGCAAGUCUUUUUACAAACAUAAUUUUAACAAGAAAUCAUAUAUUUAAGGGAAAAAUGUAUUAUUUCUUGUCUUUCAAAAAUAUGUAUGGUACUUCUAAUUUUAUGACUGAAACAUAUCUCAAAAUCUAUUUCCUUUUGAAAAUAUAAAAUAUAAGUAAAUAAAUCCAUUUCUCUCUUUAAUCAUCGAAAACUUUUAUACAAUGCGAAUUAUUACCAAAAAGAAAUAAAAAAUCCUCACAUUUUUGAAUUUUUCACUAUGUAGUUAUAUUCUGAGACUCCGAAUUAAAUAGAACAACACAAAUUCUUAGAUAUGGAUGGAUAAAGCAAACUGUCACACUAAAUUUAUUGUUAAUAAAUACGAUAACAAUAUUUCAUAAAAUAAUUUUUUCAACUCCAUUUUCGUACAAUAAUUCAAUACAAAACUAAAGUUGUUCUUAAUUUUUUUAGUUCGCACAUUCCAUCACCGACACCGACUGAUCAUAAAUGCAGGAUGGACCUACCAGGAGGUUUGCAACACAUGUAUGUGUAUUAAUCCAUAGCGGGCUGCCGAUAUUGACCAAAGCUGGUUGGCAGUGGCUCGGACUACACGGAGUUUUUAUUUAAUCUUGGCUCUAUUUGUUUCUCUUUGUUUAAGUCAACCCAAAAAAGUUAAAUUUUAUUGGAUUUUAAUUUCAUAAAAUAAUUUAUAGUCACAAAUAUUAUAUAUGUUUAUGGAACAAUAAAUUUCGAGACGAGUUUACUCCUACAAUGAUAGGAUGAACAAAGCUAUAGACGUAAAAGUCAAAGAUGAGGAAAAGAUUAUUGUCACAAUUAAUUAAUUAUUGAAAAUUCUGAGAAUAAGUAAUUACAGAAAUUUGAGAACGAAAGGUUGAGCUUUAAAGCAAAAUGGACCAAGUUUAAUAUUCGUUGACUAUUUUUAGUCAACCCCCCACAUUCCAAAUUGCGAGACUAUCAUCUUUUAUUGUUUAAAGAGAACUUUUUAAUUGCUUUAUGUGACCUUUGGGGCACUGACUUACCAUUUGAAUAGUUCUAAUUCCAAGGUUUGGAUUCAUACUGGGGGAAGCUCUUUUUGUUGUGAGAUAUUGUAAUACCCCAAACUUCACGUUAGAUAUUUGGCUAAUAUGAUUCAUGUAUUUCAUGCUAAUUACAUUGUUAUUUGCAUCAAUUUUCUAGUUGCUUUAUCUUAAAACGGUAUAUUCGAUGAUUAAGUCUUUAAAAUCUUUACAUGAUGAUAAUCUUCGACUCCUCGACCUAGGUGGUGAACUUUAUAUUGAGCUAUGAUAGAAAAUUAAGUUAACUAAAUGUUGGAGAUUGGCUUGGUAAGUAAUGAAAAAUCGAAAGGGUCGGAAAUUAGUAUCGACAAAGGUUCAAACUUUCCACUCGGCUGAUCGAGGUCACUUUAAACCAUAGAUAGGUAAUUGCCAUAUUUGGGACAUGAUGCAUGAAGUGACAUGAUCACGACGUAAUAAUAUAUGUCUCAUAUGACGUUAUAAAUUUUGAGGUGCGAAUUGUUGAAAUCGUUUGAUAAUCAUUGUAAAUCGGGUAAGAAAUUAAAUGAACAGUUGAGGAAUUAGCUCUAUAAUAUAUUUGGGAUCUUAGGACAAGUGAAAUGGAUUAUAAACAUGUCAAAAUAAGCCAAGGAUACUUGAUUUGUACCUGCAAAGAUAGAUAUAAAAUCUGAUUAUACUACAAGUGACCACCUCAUGCUUGAACACCUCGUGCUUACGAUGUUUAUCAUUUUAACACUCAAUUUCUUCAACCUUAAGAUAUCAAUCUCGUCUCUACUCCCUAAGAACUUAAUAUAGGAUGAAUAUAUAUCUUAAAGGUCACAAAUGGAUCCAAAUAUAAUGGUUGAAAGUCAAGUAUUUCUGCAAAGAUGACACAUCAUGCUUGGACAGCUCAUGUUUAAGGACACUUUUCCUUUGUUCACAUUUUUCUUCACCCUUAAGCAAUAUGCGCGACCUCAACCACUUAAAGAUCACUCAUUUACCUCACAGAUAAUAUAUUAACUCCCUUAGCUCGUGUCUAAGUGAUUCCAAGUGAAAAGAGGGUGAAAAAGUCAAAGAGAAAUAGAAACAAGAAGCUGGAAUUUCUGGACAACUUUGUUACUUCACGAUUUUGAGGUUUGUAUCCUUUGUUUCUUAAAGGAUUUAUAAUUUAUUGAACAUCUAAACUUGCUUGUGAUUAGCUUGCAGUGUUGUUAACGAUUUUAUGAUCCCAAAAUAGGGGUAAUUAAUUACAAGAAUUUAAAAGAAAGUAAUCUGGAUAGAGAUGAGGAUUUGCUAGAUUUGAAUGGUUUAAACUUUGAUUUUGGAUAAUACUUAAGAUAUAACUUGUAUCUAUGUAAAUGAAUGUUGUUGUAUGAGAGUUAGAAGAAUAGAAAUGGUCUUCUAAUAGCCUAGAAUCUGAUUGGUGACAUGCUAGUAAAAUGGAAACCGAAAAUAGUCAUAGGAAAACAAAGCUACCUGAUUUUUUGUAGUGGAAAAUGUACUGUUUUUGAAGCUCAAAACCCUUCAUUUGUUACAACCUUAUGAUCUAAUUAUCUUCAUAUAUAUGUUAUAGGUGGGUGGUAAGAAUUUGGGAGUCUUUGGAUAUAGUUAAGGAGGUGAAAAAGGAUUAGAAAAAUAAUUGGACGGUAAUGAAAAUCUGAAAACAGGUUCUGCCCAUUUGUGUUUUUAAUGUGAUUUCAACAUUUACACAUCCACUAAUUAUCUCUUGCCCUAGAAAAUAGAUUCUAAUGAGUACUAGGUUGUCGACAACAAUUGGAUGACAUUGACGUUCAUAACUGGACUUGAGAAAUAGUGAGACUUAUGGGAUUAGUUUGUAAUGCCAUCGGUAACUUGAAAUAAUGAUUUCAUCUAAAUUGUUUUGGCGUGAAUGGAUGCAUUUCGGGAUUGUGUGUGUUAAAGUUAUUAAAUGGAGGAUUGUCUUUAAUAUUAGAUGAUAAUACAGGUGAUUUUUCGACGUUGAGCGAAAAGGAAAUUGAUAUACACUCCGUAGGAGUUUGCACACACAAAGGCGGAAGGUAAGUAAAAAUUCAUUUCCAACUACGAUACAAGAACCUAGUAUUUGUAAUGUGGUAAUGUUAAAAUAUUUACAUAACUUUGAUAAGAAGCUUAUAGCACAUCAUAUGAUGAUUAUAAUCGUUGAGUAUGAGGUUGUGAAACUUAUUGACAUCGAUUUUUAUUAAAUAUAUCAUUCAUGAGCAUUUUCAUAUGCAUGCACGACAUGUGAUCAUGGUUGAAAUUCCUGCAUGUGAAAUAUGAUUUUAAAGUGAGUUUUCUUUAUAAAUGUUUUACUGACCACUAUUAGGGCACCGAUGCAUGUGAGACAUACUUAUGUAAUAUGUUUGACAUCGCGAGUGAUACUUCUUGAGUGAUUGCAAAGGUAGAUAGGGGAUGGACCUUUGGUGAUCAUGAGAGGGUGAACCACUCAAUUGUGCCCUUAUGAUAUUAUAAUUAUUAGUGCCGCCAGAUGGGAGACUUCUUGGGUGAUCAUAGGGAUAGUUAGGGAAUGGACCUCUAGUGAUCACGAGAGGAUGGUCUACUCGCAGGUGUCGAUUUCAUAUUGACCAUUUGAUUAUUGAUAUUGAUAUUAUGCAGAGCUCUAUCCGAUGUAUAGUAGGUGGGUCAAGGGCCCUAUGAAAUGAAAUAAUUUCGAGUCGACUUUGAUGAAUAUUUGAAUAUGAUGCUUCUUUAUCGUGAUGUUUAAAGUAAAUAGCAUAGUUGUAUAUAUCAUUAUUAUUCAUAUUCAUGACAUGCGUGAAUUUUACUUACUAAGCAUUGGCUUAUAUAGUUCUUGCAUUGUAGGUGAGUCUGGAACUAUAUAGAGAGCACGGCUAGUUGUGGAGCUCUUACGGGAUUUCAGAGUUCGAUGUACAUGGAUGAUGACCUGUAGGGUUAUUUUGUGGGCUGCUAUUUUGAGCUUAUGGCCUAUUGCGUUGUAUGUUGAGGAUCUUGUGUUGUAUAUUUUUUGACAUGGCAUGCAGACAUGUUUAUAACCUCAGAAUAUAUAUGUUUGAUUAUGACAAUAUGAUUUUAGUUUAGAGAUAUAGCUUAUGUUGUUUUGUCUGGUGAAAAAAUGUGUGAAAUUCUAUGUCUAGGUGACAUAGAUUAAAUUUGAAGCAUAUAACUACAGAAAAUGAUCAAAACUGAUAUUAGGAUAAUCUUUUAAAAUAUUGUAAUGGUUAAUGCAUUAGAUUAACUUAAUAUUCUAUCACAUAACAGUCAUCAUUUAAUUAUAAAUUAUGAGGGUAUGUAGUCAAUGUUUUAAUGAACUAACAUGCAGUAAUUUUAGCUAAAGAUUACUUGAAUUGUGAAAAGCAAAAUGUUUAUAUUUAAUAUCUUAUUUUAGUUUAUGAAUUAAUAAAAAAAAGAAAUUUACUGAUAAGUUUACAUUUAUUAAUAGUUAGAUUAGGUAUUAUUAUACAUCUAGUUCGCGUGGAGUCCACAUAUGAGAUAACUAGGAAUUAGACGCCAUGUUGGCUAUUGUCCUCUACAAUAUAUGUGGAGGCCUAUCUUAAUUCCUACUCGCAUGCUUGGUUGGUGUGAUUGUAUGAUUCUAAAUAUCCAUUCAAAAUCUUAGACGAUCAAAAGAAGAUCCAGAAGAAUAAUCAUCAAAUAGGUAAUUCUUUUUUAAAGAAACAAUAUCAUAAUUAUGAUAACCGCUCAACAAGUGACUAUACGACAUGUACUAUUGGCCUAAUUUAACCUAAAUUCAUCUAUAAAUACAUACGCUUGGUUCAAAGAAAAGAUACACAACAUUGGACUCUAGCCAAAGUUCUGUUCAUUUGUCUCUUUCACAUAAAUUUUAUUCUCUAAUAUUUUUUGACAAUAGACUUGAUCGUUUGAAUGUAAAUGUACAAGAUAUGAUUCAAAAAAGUGACGUUGAAUUUUAAAGUGCAAAGAAGGUAUAAGUUGGAAGCAACAACUACAAAUUGUCCUGAAAUAAAAGUUGAAUAGCGUUAACAUUUUUACUCAUAGAAGAUAGCGGAGUGCAUUUCUUAGUAAGCAUUUUUUUAUAAUUUUUUUUUUUUUAUAAAUAAUGUUAGUGGGAGAUCAUAAAUUUAUGGGGAAUACCAUGGUGAAUUUAUGAAUAUUAUUUCAAAAUAACUUUAAGGGGUACAAGGCACACCAGUUUACUACAUAAACCGAAUCAGGAUCCCAUUCUUCAUAUAUUUCAAUAUAAAUAGUGAGUUAACGUAUGUUGCACGUUAAUUGAUUAAUGUUUAAAAUAAACGUAUGUAAAUUUUAGAAAAAUUCUUUUAUAAAUUUGAAAGAUAUUCAUAAAUUCGUUGAAAUUGACUUAUUAUUCAUCAAUUUUCUCUGUAUAUUUUUUAUUUUUCAUAUCAACAUUUGAGAAUUUGCAUAUAUUUGUACCAGGCAUUUCCCUGUAGAAAAGUUUGUGGGAAAAUUUUUUCUGCGAAAUAUACUUCUCUAUAUAUAUAUUAGCUCAAACUAAAAUAUGAUUUAACACACUCAAACAUUGCCCCUAAUUCAUAUUAUGAGUAUAAUAAUUAAAUAUCACCAAGAUAUGCAACAUAACAAUAUCUACACUAUUGCAUUAAAAAUGAUUUUUCAUGUUGACAGGAAUUAUGUAGAAUCAUAAAUUAUGGCUUAAAAUGUUAAAUGCAAUUUCAGGUAUCAACCUUCUUCCAAAGACAUGAUUUUGUAAUAUUGCAAAAAUGUAAUUAGAACAUUAGAAAAUAAUGUAGACAUGGACAUAACUAUAAAGGGAGAAAACUUCUUCAAACUUUUCAAAGUUCAAUUAAAAAGAAUUUUAAAUCGAACAAAAAAUUAUUUAUAAUAUGAAGAAAAAAGAAAUUUAAAAUAUUUUUUUUCGAAAAAUAUAAUAAAAACAAAACAAACUAAGCAAAAGAAAAUUACAAAAAUUAAAUAAAGAAUAUAUAAAUAUUAUUUAAUUAAAAUUGAAAAAAUUAAGUUUUAUCAUGAAGAGAAAAUAAUUAAAAAAAUUUUAAAUCGAAUAAAAUUAUUUAUAACAUGAACAAAACAAAUUUAAAAUAAAAACAAAUGUGGAAAUAAGAAAGAAGAAAAAUAAAAUCUAGGAGAACCCAAACCUCCAUCCUGGAUGGAGGUCUAAACCUCUCCAUCCAGAUGAUGGAAGUUUUUUCCUAUCCUUAAAAAAUAAAAAAAUAAAAAAAAAUUCUUAAACUUGAUGAAGCAAGCAAAAAUAGAAAAAAAAAAGACUAUUAUAAAGUUUUUUAAUUAAAUUGAAAAAAUUAAAAAUUAAAAAUUAAAAUGAAUAUUAUUUUUUAAUUAAAAUUGAAAGAAUUACAUCUUAUAAUAAAACGAAAAUAAUUAAAAGAAUUUUAAAUUGAAAGAAAUAUUUAUAGUAUGAAGAAAAAAGAAAUUUUAAAACAAUUUCCAAAAAAUAUAUAAUAAAAACAAAAUAAAUUAAACAAAAGAAAGUUACGAAAAUUAAAUAGACAAUAUAUAAAAAUUAUUGAACUAAAAUUGAAAAAUUGAUUUUUAUCUUGGAGAGAAAAGAAUUAAAAAGAAUUUUAAAUCAAAAAAAUUAUUUAUAACUUGAACAAAAUAAAUUAAAAAAGAAAAACGAAAAAUAAAAUUCAGGAGAACCCCAAACCUCCAUUCAUGAUGGAGGUUUUUCUCAAAACCUCCAUCUUGGAUGGAGGUCUAAAUAGGAACAGAUGGACUAAUCCAAAUGCUAUCUUCUCCAAGACAUAAACAUUAUAUACUGUUUGUGAUAUUGAAAAAUUUAGACAUAUAUGGACACGAAAUUUUGAAGCAUCAAAUCAAAAAUAAAAUAAACUAUUUGAUUGAAAAGAAGUCUCCAAACUUCAAAACAUUAAUUAUAUGAUAAAAAACCUAAAUAAACAAAAGCUAGCAUCACGGAGCUCCUGCUCCUGCUGGAUGGAGCUUUGGUCAACUGCACUUAUUUUGAGUCACAUUCAUCAUUUUAAAAUCUAGACUUCUCUGCUAAUUCAAAUCAAACUAAAGUAUUAAAUUCUCCAAAAUUCUAUCAAUUCACAUAAAAAAAAAAGAAAAAGAAAAAGGAAAAGGAAAACCACAAAACGAAAAGAUAAAUAAAAAGAAACUUACAUUAAUCAGUAGUCUGCAACUCGAUUUCGAUUUGAUUUCAAGGAAGAAGAAGAAGGAAACUCAUGUAUAAAAAAGCUUGCAAUGUUAGUUUCAAUUAAAAAGAAAAAUGUAGUAGAUUAUACUUAAAAGAAACAAAAUAAAUUAAACAAAAGAAAGUUACGAAAAUUAAAUAGACAAUAUAUAAAAAUUAUUGAACUAAAAUUGAAAAAUUGAUUUUUAUCUUGGAGAGAAAAGAAUUAAAAAGAAUUUUAAAUCAAAAAAAUUAUUUAUAACUUGAACAAAAUAAAUUAAAAAAGAAAAACGAAAAAUAAAAUUCAGGAGAACCCCAAACCUCCAUUCAUGAUGGAGGUUUUUCUCAAAACCUCCAUCUUGGAUGGAGGUCUAAAUAGGAACAGAUGGACUAAUCCAAAUGCUAUCUUUUCCAAGACAUAAACAUUAUAUACUGUUUGUGAUAUUGAACAAUUUAGACAUUUAUGGACAUGAAAUUUUGAAGCAUCAAAUCAAAAAUAAAAUAAACUAUUUGAUUGAAAAGAAGUCUCCAAACUUCAAAACAUUAAUUAUAUGAUAAAAAACCUAAAUAAACAAAAGCUAGCAUCACGGAGCUCCUGCUCCUGCUGGAUGGAGCUUUGGUCAACUGCACUUAUUUUGAGUCACAUUCAUCAUUUUAAAAUCUAGACUUCUCUGCUAAUUCAAAUCAAACAAAAGUAUUAAAUUCUCCAAAAUUCCAUCAAUUCACAAAAAAAAAAAAAAAAACGGAAAACCACAAAACGAAAAGAUAAAUAAAAAGAAACUUACAUUAAUCAGUAGUCUGCAACUCGAUUUCGAUUUGAUUUCAAGGAAGAAGAAGAAGGAAACUCAUGUAUAAAAAAGCUUGCAAUGCUAGUUUCAAUUAAAAAGAAAAUGUAUUAGAUGUAUACAAUCUAUUUUAUUUUAGAUUAUACUUAAAAGAAUAGAACAAAAAUACCUAGAGUGCAAGUCGAUAUCCGAGCAAUUGAUGAACCCGCAAUAAUAGCAUGUGCAAUUGAGAAAUUAUAAUUUAGAAUUUUUUGAUUUCUGAAAAAAAAAAAAAAAAAGGAAAGAAGGUGAAGAAGAGCAGAGCAAUGGUCGAUUUUGUGAUAAAAUGGAGAAAUUAUACAUCUAGUUCGUCCAAUACAAUAAAAAAAUAAAUAAAAGUACAGACGAAAAUAAUUCAAAGAAUUUUAAAUUGAAGAAAAAAAAUAUUUAUAAUAUGAAGAAAAUUUUUUUAAAACAAUUUUAGUAAACUUAUAAUAAAAACAAAACAAAUUAAACAAAAAAAAAUUAAAUAAAGAAUAUAUAAAUAUUAUUUAAUUAAAAUUAAAAAAAUAAGUUUUAUCAUGAAGAGAAAGAAAUAAAAUGAAUUUUAAAUCGAGAAAAAUUAUUUAUAAUAUGAACAAAAUAAAUUAAAAAAGAAAAAAUAAAAGAGAAAAAAAAUAAAAACGAAAAAUAAAAUCCAAUAGAACCCUAAACCUCUAUCCAUGAUAAAGAUUUUUUUUCAAAACCUCCAUCUUGGAUGGAAGUCUAAAUUGGAACGGAUGAACUAAUCCAAAUGCCAUCUUCUCCAAGACAUAAAUUUUAUAUACUGUUUGUGCUAUUUAAUAAUUUAGACAUAUAUGGACAUGAAAAUUUGAAACAUCAAAUCAAAAUCAAAUAAACUCUUUGAUUGAGAAGAAAUCUCCAAACUUGAAAAUAUUGAUUAUCUUACAAAAAACCUAAAUAAACAAAAGCUAGCUGCACGGAGCUUCUACUCCUGCUGGAUGGAGCUUUGCUCAACUGUACUUAUUUUGAGUCAAAUUCAUCAUUUUAAAAUCUAUACUUUUCUGCCAAUUCAAAUCAACCUAAAGUAUUAAAUUCUCCAAAAUUCCACCAAUUCACAAAAAAAGAAAAUAAAAAAUAGAAAAAGAAAAUCACAAAACGAAUUUUUAAAUAAAAAGAAACUUACAUAAAUCAGCAGUCUGCAACUCGAUUUCAAUUUGAUUUUAAGGAAGAAGAAGAAGGAACCUCAUGUAUACAAAAGCUUGCAAUGCUAGUUUUAAUUAAAAAGAAAAAUGUAUUAUAUGUAUACAAUCUAUUUUAUUUUAGAUUAUACUUCAAAGAAUAGAACAAAAAUAUCUAGAAUGCAAAUCGAUAUCCGAGGAACUGAUGGACCCGUAAUAAUAGCACGUGCAAUUGAGCAAAUUAUAAUUCAAAUUUUUUUGAUUUUUGUAAAGAAGAUGAAGAAGACCUGAGCAAUGGAGAGAAAUGGUCGAUUGAGUGAAAAAAAAUAGAGAAAUGGUAUGGCUACAUCUAGUUUGCCCAACACAAUAAAAAAUAAAUAAAAGUAUAGGACGAUAUAUAUUGGAGAUACGUGUCCAGCCAAUGCUUUCGCUCUUUUAUAUAUGUAGGAUGUUGACAAAAUAACGGUAGUUAGGUCAUCUCCAACGCAAGACAUGAAGUUGGUACGACUUUCAUACAAUUUUGUAAAGUUACUUUCAAUCCAUUAUACCAAAUACUGCAUCAAAUGAAUAAUUUAUUUCCUUAUCUUUUAAUUAUCAAAAAUUAAUUUAUUUCAAGAAUUAUUUACUUAUAAAUUAUAUUCUACUGAAAUACCAGAUUAAAAGUUAAAUUUAAUUAACGAAAAUAUUAAAUUUAUUAAUAAAUAUAAAAGGCUUUACACUUAAUACGACAAUUGAAAAAUUAUGACACUUAACACACAAAAUAAAUUUUUUACAUAUAAUAAAAAAUUACAUUAUAAAUUUUAUUAAAAGUAAUGAUCAAAUUAAAAUAAAUAAAAUCAUCAAGGAUAAAAUUUGUUAGUACAAAAUGAAGAGGAAAAUGGGAAUUAUGAAAAACUCUAAAAGUCAUACUAAAUGAAUAGUGUUGCAGCUAAUUUAGUGCAACAUUGUUAAUUGUACCAACCUGAUGUAAAGAUUUAAGAAUAUUGCUAUUUAUACAUAAUGAUAUUAUAUAAUGAUUUACAUAUAGAUGAAGUGCCAAAAAGAGAUUGUGGAAGAUUUUUUUUUAUUUAUUUAAUUGAAAAAUUCUAAAUCAAUUAUAUCAACUACAUUAAACCAUCAUGUAAAUCAUUAUGUAUAUAUAACACAACUGUAAAUUUAAUAUUCGGUUUGAGUGAUAUUUGCACCAAUGCAAAGUGAUUUGAGAUAUAACUGUAGUAUUCUAGACAAGACAAGUGACUGGGCUUUGCUGCACCAAGUCUUUGAAAUUAUAGUAUAGAACAGAACUUAAACCCUUCAAAAAGAAUGAAAUAUCAUGUCUCAAUUUAUUGUUUACAGUUUAGUUUUGAAAUUUAUUUCAUUGUAUGUUAUGUAAUUGUGAUCUCGUAGACAUAUUUUAAAGAAGAAUUUAUAAUUUUAAGGGGAUUCAAAGUUCAAUUAUUUAAUGAAAAAAUAUUUCUAGUCUACGUUUGGGCUCUAUUUUUUCAAAUUAUAAUUAAGGAAUAGUAACUUUUUUAAGAAUGUGUGGUUAAAAAAAGGUCAAUUUUUAAGGUUUACAAGUAAUAUUAUUUUAUUGGAGAAUGUGUGGUUGAUAAGAAAAGAGAGAAAAAUAAAUUUUAAUUUAAUGGGGACCAAACAGAGGCUAAAAGUGUUCGUUACGAUCAAAAGUCUCAAUUUAGUUAUACUAUGAUGUUACAAAUCAGCUAAUACUUAUUCUUGAUUAUUUUUAAAAAACCAGAAGAUUUCUAUUUUAAAUUCAUGAAGUGUGAACAUGUACAGAUUGAAUCAUAUUCACACACCUAUUUUUAAAAAUAAAUAAAUAAAUAAAUAAAGUGCUUUUAAUGGUAUUUACUUUAUAUAUUUAUUAUGACGCAAUUUUUUCAGCUUAAUUAAUCCAUAAGGAUAAAUAGUGUUAGCUGUGUACAUGACAGCAUUAAUUAAAUUUAUCAAAAUGUCAUGACUUUUUGAGGAGAAGACGUGUUCGAGAUGAGCAUUCAGGCUCCAUUAUUAUUUAAAAAAUAAAAGUAAAAGAGAAGUAUAAUAUUAAAAAAAGAAUUUAAAAAGAUAAAGAAAAAACACAAUAAUCUUUCCAAGGUGGCUGCCCUCACACCACCACCACCAUCAUAAUCCCUCAUCAACCAUUAAUAUUGAUCGAUGAAAUUCACCAAGUACACGAUAUCAUAGAUAAAUAAUAUAAUAAUAAAUAAAAUAUCGUCCCGCAAACCUAUGUACUUAAUCUAGUUUUGAUUGAUAUGUGUUCAAUUUGAUUAAUAAGAAUUCUAAUUGAAUAGCCAAGUUUUGACGAUGAAUUUCUAUAAAUAGUUAACUAACUAAUCUAAUUGAUGAGCAAUUAUUAAAGCUUUUGUUAAACCGAUUUAAAUAUGAACAAAGAUUUCGAAUCCCCAUUUAUUAAUUUAUUUUAUUACAAAGCCCAUGACAAUAGUUAUUUAUUCUUGUUGAUUAAUGUUCCUAUUUUGUUUAUAAUCUCUUUCGAAUAUAAUCAAAUAUAUUCUCAAAUGUGACCUUCAUAUAUCUAUACGAAAGAUGCAAACAUGAAAGAAUAAAUUAAAAAUAUUCAAACAACUAUUGAAAUCAUGCAAGACAUAGUAUUAUAUUUCUAUAUUUUAUGUGACCUCACAAGAAUUGUUACUAUUUUGCUAUCUUUCCUAUUAUUUAUCUUGGAUAUAAUAAAAAUCACUCAUCAAUCCAAUUAGCGAUCAAUUAAUUGAAAGCAUCAUAUAUAACAAUUUUUCAAGGUAAAGAAAUACUUAACAUCAAAAUCUUGAAAUUAAAAAAAAAAACUUCAUAAUAAACGAUUUAUCUAUAUCUUAGCAACUAAAACUUUAGCCUAGCAUUACAAUGUUACAAGAAAUCAUAAAGGAAUAAUCAAACAUAAUCCAAAUUCAAAAUAUUUGAAGAAAGAAAAGAGAAGUCACGAAAUCUUGAAUUUCUUCAAUCUUCCUUGAUAUGUUACCUCUUGACUUACCACAAAAGAAUGAUAUUUUUUACCUCUCUUGAUUGCAAGAAUUUGUAUAGUGUAUGGUAUGAGAGAUGUCUUUAGUUAUUGGAUGAAGAUUUAUAUUUAAAAGCCAAAAUUAGGUCAAAAUCCGUGUUGAAAUUGGUUGAAUCAUCCAAGGAAAGUGUCUCGCCUGGCCAGACUACAGCCAUGCGAUUGCAAUAUAUAAAUAUGUGCAAUCGCAUCGUUAAGCACCUUUAUCAAAUAGAGCGUUGGGAUCACAUCACCUUGUUUCAUGCAAUCAUGCCCCUAUAAGUUUAUCAAAUUCUCAAUUUGAUCCCGAAUUCUUUAUUCAAUCUGAAUCCUUUUUUCAUGUAUGUUUAGUCCUUCAUCUUUUAAUUUUAUUCAAUUUGAUCUCUAUAAUCUGCAGACAUCAUUCUUUGGUUCGAAUUAACUUUUAUACAUUAGUUAUUUCCCAAACUUUGGAAUUCUUCCUUUUUCAUCCUUCUGUUUCGCGCGGGUUAAGUCGCUAACAAUUAAAAAGGAUCAGACGAUUGUGUAAGGGACGAAACCUCUUCAGACAAAGUCCCAAAAAGGGGUGUUCUUUUAUUGGCGAUGAACUUUACAAUUGGAAAUGGAAAACAACGUGCCUCCAAGGGGCGCAAGCACACGAGUUACUGAAAGAAAAUUGUUUAAGUCUAAAAAACUAAGGAAAUGAAAAUUACAUGUUCUCUGUUCGAGAGUUUUGGAUUCGGUCCUUUGCCUCUAUGUUCUUUCUCCCUUUUAUACUUCAUAGACGAUCUCUUUGUGAUUAACUGCUCUAAAAACUGCUUGAUCGUCCUAUAACUACCCACUUUCUUCGUAGUGGCCAUUUUAUUAUGAAAACUGCCUUUUAACUGCUGCCAUUACCUUUCAUCGUUCAACUGCUUUCGAUUGAAUUCCUUGAGUCGUGGAACGUGAUAGGGCUGCUUUAGCAACUGCCUUGAUAACUGCAUUUUUUGAUAACCACGACGCGUUAUGUCUGUUGAUACCUUGGGUGACUUGAAGGUUUGGGCGAGAAUAGAAUAACAGCUCUGGACGACCGUAUGACACUCUAUUCGUUCAGAUUCUGGGCGACUCUGGCGUUACAGCAUUCUUGGGCCCCCUUAUUUGGGCCUUCACCUUGAUUUGUUCGAUUGGACUUCGUUCUUUGAGCUAUCUGAUUUGGGGGUCCUCCAAUUGGGCUUUAAUCUUUGGGCCGUUCGAUUUGGGCUAAAUUUUUAUGUGUCAACAAUUACCCCCCUGUAUGGCAGAAUUAAUAAUAAUUAUUGAAUUUUGCAUAUUUACUUUGUGUUUCCAGCAACGUUCGAAAUUCCCAAGAAUUUCAAUCAUUGUUUCCUUCUAUAACUUGAAAAGGUGCGUCGUUUUGCAAACCCUUAUAAACCCCAAACACGCCAUUUCACUGCUACCAAAUCACGCCUCAUAUUUUUUGCAUCUCUUUCACGAUUCACUGUUCAUCUUUUGCUUCCUUAUUACGUAACCCUGAAAAGCUUCGUUUCUCUUCCAAUGGCUGCUUCACAAUCUCAAGCUAGCGACUCCUUUAGUUUUGAUGACUUUCAGAAACUUUUGAGUCGCCCAUACAUAACCCCAAGUUUUCUCGCGCCCGCCGACGUUGGACGUAAUGAGUUUUACUUGGGUCCUUUCUUCAACAAUGCGGAGGCAGUUGAACAGGCGACGGUGGGUCAGCUGUUUCCUUGCACUCAUGGCCCUCCUUUUCUAAACUCUCUGCUGCUGGGCCCACUUCGCGAAAGAGGUAUUCGCACUUGGCCUAAAUCUGAUGUAACUUUUCGUAGGUGGCAUGCUCGUCUUGUGGGUCAUGGUCCUACCAAGGCACUUUUUGAUAGCACUAGGAUUUCUAACUUGUUAGAAGUCUCUAUUCGCCCCCCUGCUUUUGAUUCAGCGCUCUUUUCGAUUGCUUUGAGUUUUUGGUCCCCUGAGUAUAACACCUUUAUUUUUCCUCUUGGCCCCAUGUUUAUUACGUUAAGGGAUGUUGGGGCCCUUGUGAAUCUACCACCUUUGGGCGAUACCAUUUUCCCAGGUAUCUUAGUUUCUGGUGGCGCCCCAAAGUUUGGUAAAAACUAUACCGACUCUUAUUCAAGUCUGCAGACCCUCCACAAUCAUUCGAGUGCUGAGCCUACCUAUACUGAGCGAGUGGCCUUCCUUUUAGUUUGGCUUUGUAAAUAUGUUUUGUGCGUGCCAAGUAUAAAGCCUUCUCUGAGUUAUUUACCCAUAGCGCACGAAUUGGCGCGUGGCAGGUCUUUGAAUUUAUGUUCUUUGUUUUUGGCUACCCUUUAUAAAGGCAUGGCCUCUCUUCAAGCUCAAUUGAAGAAUGGUGCAUCUCCCACAGGCAGUGGAGCUCUUUGGUUUACUCAACUGUGGUUGAGAUCCUAUUUUCCAUCGUUUGGUGCUCCAUCCAUUUCUUGUCCUUCUGCUAGCUGUUACGGGCUAGCUAUGGAGCCCCUAACUCCUGUAAAUAUGUCCAGAAGGGACAUUUUUUCUUUCUUCUAUUCUUUAGAUUCAAUCUCUUCCUUUUUUCCUUUCCCUCCUUUCUUGACUCCAAACUAUGUACAUCCCCCUUCCACUAUAGAUAGCGCGAGCACCUCCCUGCUCAUUUGGAUCCAGUUUUUAACCGGGAGGGAGCUUUUCCAUGAUAUCUUAACUGGGACCAAUGCCAAAGCGGGGGUAGAAAUUUAUGCUCCCCAAUUUUUUGCUCGUCAGCUUGGUUUUGGCCAAACUUGGCCUGUUAUUCUUUACUAUUCGAAGAACUUAAUUGACCGUUUUCAUACCAUUAAUAAGGCGGAAGCAGAGGCUAUAAACGCUCGCAACCUCCAUUUAUCAAGCCACUUUUCAUUAGCCCCUUUUAAUUCUUGUCAUGCCACUCACCCUCUUUUUGAACAACUCUGGCCAUCGGUGAAGCGCAAAUUAUUUGCGACUGAGGCCAAUCGUGCCUUUCAUUCAUUAGACCAACCGAGUAUUUCUUCUCCUCCUCCUGUUUUGGUCACUCCUUUGUCUAUUCGGAGCCCCUCUCCUUCUCGUCACACUAAACAAUCUGUUCGUCCAUCUUCUUCUCUCCCUGCCAGGCCUACUACGGCCAAGAGUGCUCCAAGCCGCAAACGGCCGGCCUCAGCAUCUCUCAUUCUGGAGGAUGAUGUUGAUGAUGAUGAUGAUGAUGAUGAUGAUGAUGCCCCUCUUAUCGUCAGGAGGAAGGUAAUUAAAUUGGUCUAUUUACGAGUAUGCUUUUCCACAUUUGAAACUUUUCUGUGUAUUGAUGAUCUUUUGGACUUUUCAGAAAAGCUCAGCCUCUCCUUCAAAGGCUUUGGCAUCGACAACUCCUGCUCCAUAAUCCUCUGCUGAGGCUACUUCAUCCAAACCGGUUGAUGAGGGGACCAUGCUUAAAGAUGCAUCUUCAAUCCCAGAGUCUUCAUCACAACCCAUGGAUGAGCCACCUUCUUCCUAGGGCGUCGACCCCCCAAACAUCGAAGCAGAAGGUAAUUCAGUUUUUUGAUGUCUUACCUUUGCUCGUGCUAUUGGUUUCUGAUUUGUUGCUCUUGAGCUUUGCAGAUACUCCUAUGAGUCCCCCCGUUGUGGCAACAUCUUCUUGCUCGGACAAGGGGAAGUCCUCACAAAUGGAUGAGCCGUUGGUGGCAAGCUUGGCUGAGGGCGGUGCCAUCUUCUACGAUUGUCGACGAGGUAGUUUUUCUUUUUGCUUCAUUUCUAUUUCCACCUUGUUCGUUGUAUUGAGGAUUUUUAAUAUUGGCAGUCUUCUUUGCAGGAUGCUGACAGGAUUGUACGUUCUAUCCAAGACUUGUUCGCUUCCUGGCGGCAAAUUCAGACGUUUCGCCCUGCUCCAUUCGAUCGUCCUGCUGCUUCUUCAGAGGAAGACUUGAAGUUCCUGAAGGAAUUGAUACUCGAGUACGUAUCCUUCAUGGAUAUGGAUAUUGGAAGGGCUAGUGCUGCCAGGCACAAGGAUGAACUUGAGCACUUAAGUGCGAAGUUGGAGCAAGCAUUGAUGCUUUCGUCGCUCAAUCUUUCUGCCGAUUUUAAAGCGACGUUGAAGGUUAUCCACUCUGAGGUCCUUUAUAUGCUGGCCAAGAAUACUGAACUAAAGGCCAAGCGUACUCAAUAUCUUCGAGCCGUAGCUGAGAAAGAGUCUUUGCGUAUGGAGAUUAACAAGGCUGAGGACGAGUUGAAAGAAAUCUCCUCUGAAGUCAUGAUUGAAGACUCUUUGAUGGUUAACUUGGCUGCUCAGAUGAGAGAACUUCAAGCUAAAAUGGACGACUGUAGGGCGAGGAUGGUUGCCAAAAAGUGCAACGCCUCCCAAGGAAUUGAGCGAACUAAGUCCUUGGUCGAGCAGUACAAGAAGUUGGAAGUUGAUGAUGAUGACGUCGCGACUGAAUUGAACAUCACUUCCUCUCGACAGAACGAGGAUUGGGAAAAACUUAGGGAACGAAUUCGUUCUUUAUGGGGUAGACUGUAAUUAAGACACACGAUGUCUUUUUUCUUUUGUAAUUCGAUUUUUUCCUUUGUAACUUUAUUCAUCAUUAAUGAACAUUAAUUUCUUGUGCAUUUAUUUGACGUUUAUUUUUUUAGUCAUCAAUUCUUUAAGUACUUAACUGCUUUGCACUAAAAAUCUUGUCCAUUCCCUUUUGAUAUUCCCACUACUGUUCCCAAAACUUAGGGCUAUUCAAUUCCGUUUAUUAGACAAAAAUGUGGCUGUUCAUAUUCUGUCUCUUCAUCUUCACCCCCCUAUAAAUGCUUUGCAUUUUUCAUCCUCUAUCUUCAUCUCUUCAUUUUCUUCUUCGAAAUCAAUUUGCUGCCAUUUCUUGGCAUUCUGACGAUCAACCUGAUUCAAAAAUAGAUUGUUUAAUCCGUCCGCCUUAUAUUUACUUUGAUGUCACCUUUGGUAUGGGAGGUAUAGGAAAUAUUUUCUGGCCAGCAGCGAAGUUCUUUCCUGCAAAAUUCUUCCCAUCGUCUCUUUGUUCUUCACAAGGAGGCAAUGAUGGGAGGCAAUUUUUGGGCUGCUUGUGGGCCACUUUGCUUGCUGAGAGUACUUCUCAGCUUGCCUGCUGAGAGUGUUUCUCAGCCUCUUUGCUCGCCAUCGCAGCGAUGCAUUUAGGAAGGUGGUGAGGCCAUUAGACCCUCUCACUCGGCAAUCCCACCAUUGCAGCGAUGUAUUUAGGAAGGCGGUGGGGUCAGUACACCCUCUUACUCGUCAAUCCCACCUUUGCAGCGAUGCAUUUAGGAAGGCGGUGUGAAGCUUACUCAGCGAUCAAUCGGGAGAUCAUCUUACUUUAGUUGUAUUUUGUAUCACGUCCAUUCAUUUGUAUCUUUUGUAUUCUUGUAAUGAACGUUUGAUAAUAAAGAACUUUAUUCGAACGUAUUCCGCUCUGUCUUUAUUAUCUUUUGAUCGUCCAGAAUGUUUGGUUAUGUUUUUAUCUGUUCACAUUCCCAUAAAGAAGGAACAUAUUUUUUCAAAUAUUUGCCGUUAAUGAAUCUUACGUGCUUGGUGCCAUCUAAAUCUUCCAAGUGUAACGCUCCAUUAGGCAACACACUGUUUAUUUUGUAUGGUCCUUCCCAAUUGAACGACCACUUUCCGUACUUUGGAUCCUUGGUAUCCAAAGGGAGUAUCGUCUUCCAAACUAGUUCGCCCAAGCUGAACGACUUGGCUAUGACUUUUUUAUUAUAAAACUUAGCCAUUCUUUGCUUUUGAACUUGCAACCUAUCUAAGACGUCCAACUUCAAUUCGUCUAAACUCAACAAAUUUUGAACUAGUGAUUCGACAUAUUCAUCAUCAUUCAACUUAUGUUGCAAGCACACUCGAAUAGAUUGCACGUUGAUUUCCAUAGGCAAAACGGCCUCCUGUCCAUAAACAAGUUGGAAAGGAGUAACUUUGGUACUUGACCGAGGUGAUGUUCUAUAAGCCCAUAAGGCCUUGUUCAAACAUUCGUACCAAUUUCUGGCGUUUUCAUCUAUCAUCUUUCUGAUGAUAUUUUUUAGAAUCUUAUCAGAAGAUUUCGCUUGUCUGUUGGAUUGAGCGUAGUACGGUGUGGAGUUUACUAAUUUAACCCCAAACUCGCUCAAAAAUUUGUUCACUUGAUCCCCAUUCAAAGAUGUUCCGUGAUCUACCAUUAAAGUUUGUGGAAUUCCAAACCUAUAAAUAAUGUGAUCACGGAUAAAUUCUAUAACAUUCUUCUAGAUGAUCUUUUUCAAAGGUACCGCCUCUACCCAUUUGGUGAAAUAGUCGGUUGCAACUAUAACAAAAGUAUGUUGCUUGGACGAUGGAGGGUAGAUCUUUCCUAUCAGAUCUAUCACCCAACCUUUGAACGGCCAAUGUUUAAUAAUAGGUGCCAUUUCUCGUGCUGGCGCCCUUUGUAUUGGACCAUGUUUUUGGCAUGCUAAACAACUUUUUGCAUACUGAACGCAUAGUUCUCCCAUCUUUGGCCAAAAAUAUCCAUUCCUAAUAAUUAACCAUCUUAUCCUAUGGCCAGCUUGAUGAGCUCCACAUAUCCCUUCGUGCACUUCAGCCAUGAUCGUUUUGGCUUCUUGCAAACUUAUACACUUUAGUAAUACACCAUCAGAGCGUUUCUUAAACAACUCUUCAUCUAUUAGUGUGUAAUUCAGCAAACAUAGCUUUGUUUUCCUGCUAACUCCUCCAUUAGGUUCUUUAAGGAACCCUUUAAUCUCUGUUCUCCAAUCCACUGCGUCUCCAUCUUGUAUACAGUGAAGUUCAAUUUUUCUCGCCCUUCUUUGAAUCACGGGCAAUAUGAUUCCAUAAUCACAAGUAGACUUCCAAUUCAAAACCUUUGAGUACCCUGAUGCCAUUUGGGCUAACUCAUUUGCCAUGUCGUUAUAUAUCCUAUUAACGCAUUGGAGUUCUACUUGAUCGAAUUCUUCUAGUAAUUCUUGGGCGAUCUCGUAUUGACUUAUAAUGGAAUCACUUUGGUAUUUAAAAUCACCGAUCAAUUGAUGGAUCACCAAUUGAGAAUCGCCUCUAACGAUCACAUUUCUUAUUCCCAUAUCUAUCAUUAGUUCUAGGCCUACAAUUAAGGCUUCAUAUUCGGCCUGAUUGUUGGUGCACAUUUUGUCUAAGGUGAAUGCCAACUUGUAGCAAAUCCCUAAAGGAUUAAUCAACGCUACUCCUACUCCUACACCUUUAGAGGUCUUUGACCCAUCGAAAUACAACACCGAAGGUUUUAAUUCGAACGAAUUGAUUUCUAGUUCGAUUUCUUCAGGCAUGUCAAGGCAUGGAUGAUCGGCUAGAAAGUUAGCCAAAGCCUGAUUUUUGACUGCCUUUUGAGGUAUAUAUUGUAUUUUGAAUUCUGAUAAAGCUAGUGUCCAAAGGCCUACCCUUUGAUAUAAAAUAGGGCGCGAAAACAUAUACUUAACUAAAUUUACCUUAGAAAUUAAAUAAACGGUUACGGGCCGUAAGUAAGCCCUUAGCUUUGUACAUGUGAAAUACAACGCAAGACAUAAUUUUUCAACAGCAGAGUAAUUGCAUUCACAUUUAGUUAACCAUCUACUUAAAUAGUAAAUUGCCCUUUCUUCACCAACUUGGUCUUCCUGCGCGACCAUUCCAGCUAUUGAUUCUUUUUCAGCCGACACGUACACUUUCAUCGGCCGUCCUUGGAUUGGUGACACCAACACUGGUGGACUUGAUAGAUAUAUCUUCAGGCUUUCAAAAGCGUUUUGAUGUUUUUAUUUCCAGACGAAUUCAUCCUGAUUUUUCAGCUUUAAUAGCGGCGAAAAGAUUUUAGUUCGCCCUGCACAGUUAGAAAUAAAGCGUCUUAGAAAAUUUACNNNNNNNNNNNNNNNNNNNNNNNNNNNNNNNNNNNNNNNNNNNNNNNNNNNNNNNNNNNNNNNNNNNNNNNNNNNNNNNNNNNNNNNNNNNNNNNNNNNNNNNNNNNNNNNNNNNNNNNNNNNNNNNNNNNNNNNNNNNNNNNNNNNNNNNNNNNNNNNNNNNNNNNNNNNNNNNNNNNNNNNNNNNNNNNNNNNNNNNNNNNNNNNNNNNNNNNNNNNNNNNNNNNNNNNNNNNNNNNNNNNNNNNNNNNNNNNNNNNNNNNNNNNNNNNNNNNNNNNNNNNNNNNNNNNNNNNNNNNNNNNNNNNNNNNNNNNNNNNNNNNNNNNNNNNNNNNNNNNNNNNNNNNNNNNNNNNNNNNNNNNNNNNNNNNNNNNNNNNNNNNNNNNNNNNNNNNNNNNNNNNNNNNNNNNNNNNNNNNNNNNNNNNNNNNNNNNNNNNNNNNNNNNNNNNNNNNNNNNNNNNNNNNNNNNNNNNNNNNNNNNNNNNNNNNNNNNNNNNNNNNNNNNNNNNNNNNNNNNNNNNNNNNNNNNNNNNNNNNNNNNNNNNNNNNNNNNNNNNNNNNNNNNNNNNNNNNNNNNNNNNNNNNNNNNNNNNNNNNNNNNNNNNNNNNNNNNNNNNNNNNNNNNNNNNNNNNNNNNNNNNNNNNNNNNNNNNNNNNNNNNNNNNNNNNNNNNNNNNNNNNNNNNNNNNNNNNNNNNNNNNNNNNNNNNNNNNNNNNNNNNNNNNNNNNNNNNNNNNNNNNNNNNNNNNNNNNNNNNNNNNNNNNNNNNNNNNNNNNNNNNNNNNNNNNNNNNNNNNNNNNNNNNNNNNNNNNNNNNNNNNNNNNNNNNNNNNNNNNNNNNNNNNNNNNNNNNNNNNNNNNNNNNNNNNNNNNNNNNNNNNNNNNNNNNNNNNNNNNNNNNNNNNNNNNNNNNNNNNNNNNNNNNNNNNNNNNNNNNNNNNNNNNNNNNNNNNNNNNNNNNNNNNNNNNNNNNNNNNNNNNNNNNNNNNNNNNNNNNNNNNNNNNNNNNNNNNNNNNNNNNNNNNNNNNNNNNNNNNNNNNNNNNNNNNNNNNNNNNNNNNNNNNNNNNNNNNNNNNNNNNNNNNNNNNNNNNNNNNNNNNNNNNNNNNNNNNNNNNNNNNNNNNNNNNNNNNNNNNNNNNNNNNNNNNNNNNNNNNNNNNNNNNNNNNNNNNNNNNNNNNNNNNNNNNNNNNNNNNNNNNNNNNNNNNNNNNNNNNNNNNNNNNNNNNNNNNNNNNNNNNNNNNNNNNNNNNNNNNNNNNNNNNNNNNNNNNNNNNNNNNNNNNNNNNNNNNNNNNNNNNNNNNNNNNNNNNNNNNNNNNNNNNNNNNNNNNNNNNNNNNNNNNNNNNNNNNNNNNNNNNNNNNNNNNNNNNNNNNNNNNNNNNNNNNNNNNNNNNNNNNNNNNNNNNNNNNNNNNNNNNNNNNNNNNNNNNNNNNNNNNNNNNNNNNNNNNNNNNNNNNNNNNNNNNNNNNNNNNNNNNNNNNNNNNNNNNNNNNNNNNNNNNNNNNNNNNNNNNNNNNNNNNNNNNNNNNNNNNNNNNNNNNNNNNNNNNNNNNNNNNNNNNNNNNNNNNNNNNNNNNNNNNNNNNNNNNNNNNNNNNNNNNNNNNNNNNNNNNNNNNNNNNNNNNNNNNNNNNNNNNNNNNNNNNNNNNNNNNNNNNNNNNNNNNNNNNNNNNNNNNNNNNNNNNNNNNNNNNNNNNNNNNNNNNNNNNNNNNNNNNNNNNNNNNNNNNNNNNNNNNNNNNNNNNNNNNNNNNNNNNNNNNNNNNNNNNNNNNNNNNNNNNNNNNNNNNNNNNNNNNNNNNNNNNNNNNNNNNNNNNNNNNNNNNNNNNNNNNNNNNNNNNNNNNNNNNNNNNNNNNNNNNNNNNNNNNNNNNNNNNNNNNNNNNNNNNNNNNNNNNNNNNNNNNNNNNNNNNNNNNNNNNNNNNNNNNNNNNNNNNNNNNNNNNNNNNNNNNNNNNNNNNNNNNNNNNNNNNNNNNNNNNNNNNNNNNNNNNNNNNNNNNNNNNNNNNNNNNNNNNNNNNNNNNNNNNNNNNNNNNNNNNNNNNNNNNNNNNNNNNNNNNNNNNNNNNNNNNNNNNNNNNNNNNNNNNNNNNNNNNNNNNNNNNNNNNNNNNNNNNNNNNNNNNNNNNNNNNNNNNNNNNNNNNNNNNNNNNNNNNNNNNNNNNNNNNNNNNNNNNNNNNNNNNNNNNNNNNNNNNNNNNNNNNNNNNNNNNNNNNNNNNNNNNNNNNNNNNNNNNNNNNNNNNNNNNNNNNNNNNNNNNNNNNNNNNNNNNNNNNNNNNNNNNNNNNNNNNNNNNNNNNNNNNNNNNNNNNNNNNNNNNNNNNNNNNNNNNNNNNNNNNNNNNNNNNNNNNNNNNNNNNNNNNNNNNNNNNNNNNNNNNNNNNNNNNNNNNNNNNNNNNNNNNNNNNNNNNNNNNNNNNNNNNNNNNNNNNNNNNNNNNNNNNNNNNNNNNNNNNNNNNNNNNNNNNNNNNNNNNNNNNNNNNNNNNNNNNNNNNNNNNNNNNNNNNNNNNNNNNNNNNNNNNNNNNNNNNNNNNNNNNNNNNNNNNNNNNNNNNNNNNNNNNNNNNNNNNNNNNNNNNNNNNNNNNNNNNNNNNNNNNNNNNNNNNNNNNNNNNNNNNNNNNNNNNNNNNNNNNNNNNNNNNNNNNNNNNNNNNNNNNNNNNNNNNNNNNNNNNNNNNNNNNNNNNNNNNNNNNNNNNNNNNNNNNNNNNNNNNNNNNNNNNNNNNNNNNNNNNNNNNNNNNNNNNNNNNNNNNNNNNNNNNNNNNNNNNNNNNNNNNNNNNNNNNNNNNNNNNNNNNNNNNNNNNNNNNNNNNNNNNNNNNNNNNNNNNNNNNNNNNNNNNNNNNNNNNNNNNNNNNNNNNNNNNNNNNNNNNNNNNNNNNNNNNNNNNNNNNNNNNNNNNNNNNNNNNNNNNNNNNNNNNNNNNNNNNNNNNNNNNNNNNNNNNNNNNNNNNNNNNNNNNNNNNNNNNNNNNNNNNNNNNNNNNNNNNNNNNNNNNNNNNNNNNNNNNNNNNNNNNNNNNNNNNUAACAGCUUUCAAACCGGAACAAAUCUCUACACUAAUAUGAAAAUUAUAUUGUAGAAGCAAAUAUGGAUUGUAAGGAACAACCUAUUAGUUAUCAAAUGUUGCAUUUCAGACUUUCACCUAUGAAUUAGGAAUUGAAGAAAUUUGACUAAUUGUUACGUACUAAUAUCGUAAAUUAAGAAAACUAAUGUUAAUAAGAAUAAUAAUGGUAUUUACCUUAUAUCCAUAAUUUCUUCUUCUAUAUAUUGGAUAUACAUCAUUUCCUUGCACUGUCUUCGAGGAAAAUGGUCUUGGAUAAUGGAAUCAACAUGUCCUGCUUACUAUACAUGGAAAUUUGUUGUUAUAUUCUCCAUAGGGUUCAUGUAGCAUGUGUUUGACAACUACUUUGUAAAGAGUAAAUUUUGUUUCUUUGUCUGGGAUUUUUGCCUACAUAUAUUUGUCAUAUUGGUCAGCAUUUGUGAUUUUGUAACCACUUUUCAAUAUAAUUAAUAUGUGAGCACGUGGAAGUCCUCUUUUUUGAAAUUCAAUCACAUAAAGAUAAGCCGCAACUUUGUUAAGAAUCUCUUUUUUCAAUAUUUGAUCUUUUAGGUCCAUUAGCUUUCCUCUAAAGACCUUUGUAGUGAGAUUGGGUCUAUCUUGAGGACGUUGACCUUCUUCGAGUUUGUCUUAAUGUCUUGGUGUCAACCCGCCUCCCCAUUUGGAAAUAGUAGAGGAUAUUGAAGUGAAUCGUAACAACUGAAGUAGUGUCGAAUAAUAUGUCGAUUUCUAGAAUGUGCAUGAACAAUAAUAUUCCUUUCGAAAGGUAUGAGAUCAUCAUUUCUUUCUAUCCAUAGGGCAGCCACUUGAUUGAUGGUCGGUGUAUUGUGUACACGUUGAUCGAUAUUAACAUUGCUUGCAAUAUGUAUCUGUAUAUUGUCAAUGCAUGAUUGGUCCUUUAUGGUAUGAAAAAAUUGAGCAUAAGGAUAGUGUUGUAGAAGUUGCAUCAAUUGUUGAACAAUGGUUUUUAUCAAGAUCGGCAUCUCUUAGUAUGUGAAUCAUGUUUUCCAAUUCGUGAUCAACAUUGUAAAAAUACAAUUGAAAAAAUAUAGGUCGUUUUUCUGGUAAAAAAGCUGGAAGAUCAUGGUAUAUUUGCCCGUGAGCUCUAAAUGUGUGAACUCCCUUGUUUGAUGUAGUGAGAUCUUUAUCAAAAUUUACAUCGAACGAAAUGAAGGAAAAUAUGCUGUUAUAACCUCUCAAAUUUUUUUGACAUAAAAUCCCUUCACUGGAUUGUGAAUUAAACAAAUGAUACAAUUCAUUUGGCACUUUGUUUUCAGCAAGUCGGAUCUAAUAAAUGUUGAAUGAAAAAUUUUUAACUGAUAAAUUAUACAAAUGUUUGAUAAUAGAAGGUAGAAAAUAUUUGACCUAACCAUUUUGACAACAAAAUGUUGGAGUUUCAUACUCAUUUUGUUGUGCCCCAAAAAGUGCAUGAACGUAUUUUCUUAAGCUCGUGUAUUGGAGAACACCUGUACAAUAUUAAAUGAACUUUGACAACUAAUAUUGGUAAAAAAAUAAUGUAGAGUCAAUCCAACGAUCCAAGAGUAAGACCUUGAAUUUGAUUCCGAUUUUGUUCUUGUUUGGUUUCAAUGGAAGAUGAGAUACAACACUUGUUGUCUGUGUCCUCUGUGUAUCUCUUCUUUCUGGAUUCAAUUGUAAGCUAAAUCUUUCUGAUCCUUUGUACUUUUGAGAGCCUUAAAUAUUUUGUUCUUUUACGUUGGUUAUCAUGUCUAAGGAAUUAUUUCCUGAGACUCAACAACACGAAAAUAAAUGAAUUUAAAGAGUUAUUGAUUAGAGUGUCUUAUAAAGUUAGAUUACAUUUUAUAUGCAUUUAAAUAAUGGAAAGAAUUGAAAUUAUUUAAUUAUAAAUUACUUGAACUUCUAGAAAAAUGAUUACAUAUUAGUAUAUAUGUAGAACCUGAUGAAUUUUUUAAAAUCAAUAUUUAAGUUGUUAAAAUCUCUACGAUUUUAGUGUUUGAAUAUGAAGUGUUUUAGUGUAAAUGUUAGUAAUAUUUGUGAAUGAAUAUACAGUAUAAUCAGAUGUAUAAAAGAACUUCGAGUGGUAAAUAAAAACAUUAAUAAUUAAUAAGUUGAAUAAAAAUAGAAAUGAAGAGGAAAAAUAUUUGUUACCAAACUAUCAGAAUAAUUUUAUUAUUACUAUUACUAUAUAAAUGAUAAACUAAGCAAGCAUAAGCACUAGCAAACCAUUUUUCCUUUUUACAAUUACCAAAAAAAUCGAAAAAGAAAAACCGAAGCCUGAUGAAUAUCUUUCUUCCUUUUUUUUUUUCCCUCCCUAUUUUUGUGCUGGAAAAGAAUACUAAACAAAAAUAGAGAACAAAUUUAAAAAUCGAAAAAUAGUCAACUAAUAGUUUAAAGUGAAAUUAAUCAAAUAAAAGAGAGCCUACUUGGACUUAGAGCGCAGAGAUUGAAGCCAUGAAAAACUUGGUAGAUCUAGGGUUGGCCAUUUGUGGAAGAGCAAAAGUAAAAAAAGUGAAUAUUUUCGGGCUUCAGAAUUUAACGAAUCACAAUUUUUGGGUUUAAUUUGUUUACAAGUUUUGUUUACUCCACAAUACCACCUGCAUAAUAUGUGUUCGUCUGUGUGGGAGAGAGAGACGGUGUGACGAGAAAUUAUAUGACAAACUGCAGACCAGAAGCUAAAUGGAAAUGAAUGUUAAUUGGGAUACACGUAAAUACUAAUUAUAAUUAUUUUAGUAUUAAUGACAAUGAAUACAUAAAUGAAGAUGAAUGUAAAUUCAUUUAUACUUAAUGAAUAAAAUUAAUGUCCAAUGAAGUGAUUCAAAAUUCUUGAAUGGAUCGUAAUUAAAGGGUGUGUAUGUGAACCAAUAUAUGGGUACAUGAACUGAAGUUUUUAUUUCUUCUAAUGUUUGUGGAUUUGCGUGAGAUAUUUGGUUAUGAAAAUGAAAAAUUAAUGCUGCUGUAUAUCAGAUUUGAAAUUGCACAUAUAUUCAAUGUAGGUAAAUGUAUUCAAUAUAUAAUUAUGACUAUGUGUGCAUGCAUGCAUUUACGUUAAUGUUUCAGUAUAUUUUCUGGAUAAGAAUUGGAUAAAUAAUUUAUUAUAGCUCUAAAAUAUAUAAAGUGUAUAUGAACUUGAAGACUUGAUGUGGAAUUUAAUAUAUCUAUAAAUUAAUUAAUUAAUUAAUUAAUUAAUGUUUAUUAUUAUACAUGUACAUAAAAAAAUAAUUGAAUUGUUGUACUUCUAUAGUAAUUGAAUAGCCUCAAGUUAUAAACCAUUUUGUCUAAAUAAUUUUUCCAAGAUCAAAUUUAUAUAUUGAAUGUAUAAUUCUGUGCAUGCAUUAGGUAAAUGUAUUCAAUUGAUAAUUAUCAUUGUAUGUAUGCAUGCAUGCAUUUCUGUAAAUUCUCAGACAUCAUUUUAUUCUGAUUUUUUUAUUUUAUUGAUUCAUGCCUAGAAGUUGUAAUAUAAAUCCAGAGUAUAGAAGUUUAGAGAAAGAGGAUUUACUUAUUUUAGAUAGCUUUUGGAAAUGUUGAGAGAGUGAGCUGGUGUUCCUCAGAAUUCUCAUUUUGGAUGGAUUUUAUGGGAAUUGCUUAUUUCGAUAAUAAGUGGAUCAAUUUUGGUUUCACAAGAAGACAACAAAAUUAAUGCACAAAAAUUUAUUCCUCAAGUUUAAGAUUAAGAUUAAUCAUUAAUAUGAGGUUUAAAUUAAUUCUCCAAACUACCAUGCAUUUAUUUUAUUUUGUUUUCAAAAAUUAUUCUAUUAAUCUAUGGUUUAAAGUCAUUCUUGAAGUUCAAGUAUACAUUAUUUUGUCUAAAUUAAUUUUCCAAGAUUAUGUGUAUAUAUAGCAUGCGUGUCUAGUUUCUUUUGUAAUAAUAAUUGUGAAGAAGAAUAUUAAUUAAAAUGCUUAUUCACUUUCAAGAUUAGUCAAUAAUGUGAGAUCUAAAAUAAAUUUCCAAAGUAUUGUUCAUUUAUUUUAUUUUUCCCCACAAUUUUAACGAUACAGAAAAUUUGUUUUAAAUAUAACAUAAACUUUCUCAUAUUAAAUUAUAACUUCAGUAAAUUAUAAAUGAUAAAAUAAUAGGUGUGCUUUGCGUCGAUGUUUCGAACAAAAAUAAUAAUAUGUGUCUCUUAAAUGAUAAAAUAACAGGUGUGUUUUGAGACGAUGUUUCGAACAAAAAUACUAACAUGUGUUUCUUUAAUCUAAAUCAAUAUUCAAUCUUCUAUUUUUAGUUUCUUGCUCGGAUUGUUCCUUCAAUUAUCUCCUUUGCAUCCACCUUGUAAACUUCUUCGACAAUCAAUUUCUUCCAUGUUCUUUCUUCUCUUUUCUUCACAUCCAUCUUCACCAAGAAUUUGAACUCUUUAUCUUCCGAGGACAUUAGCUUUUUGUAUUAUUUACACAGUUCUUUUUGUUGGUCUGAGAAGAAAAUAACAAUAUAUGUUUUUAUAAAGAUGAGUUAGUCACCUAAUUUUAGUUAGAAGCAAUAUAAUAUGUUGAAAACACAAAAUCUAAAUUAUAUGUUUACCUUUAAAGAGCUUCAGCAUAUUCAAUCACAGUACUUACUAUGAAAGAUUUGGCAGCAUCAAAGAUUGUGACGUAAACUUCUUGAUUACCAUCUAAAACUAUUAUCCUCAACAAAUACUUUCUAUUAAAAGCUAUGUCUUUAAUUUCACAUAUUGUACAUGUGACGAUUUUUUUAAUCUUCCUCUGGGAAACUCUUGCACCACACUUGUUUUGAACCUUUAAAAUCUUGCCUAUAAAAGCACAAUACAAUUUAGUCACACUAUUUGUAACCAUAUCAUCUAAUUUUACGAUACCAGCAUCCACCAUCCUCUUUGUAGGUCCCAAUAGUUUGUACAAUCCUUCACCACAUAGCAAUUUUUUAGUGCUGUAAAAAAAAAAAAAAAAAAAAAAAAGAAAGCAAAAUAAAUCAUCUUUCAGCUCUAUUAAAAUCUGUUUAAAUUUAGUAGUAAUGUAAAUAUAAUCGUCAUGACUAAAUAAACCAUGCUCGCCUAUUUUUAAUAGCAUUAGUUUCUUCAAGUUGCAGAUUGAUCUCAAUGAUACUAAUAUUUGAAGUGGAGAUGUUUAGUUCAUAUGUUUGAUAGACGUUAGUAAGAACGCGGCAUAGAUUGUUGAUUUUAGCAUACAACUCUUUUUAAUAUGAUAAUAAAAUAAUUAUAUAGUAUCACCUUCAUAGUAACUUGCUCUCACAUUCAAAGCUACAAUAAGUGGCAUUGAACAGCAUCUUCCAUAGACUUUCCUUCGUUGUUAGCCAAAUCUCCCCCACAAAUGUAAUUUCAUUGUAUUACACCUGUACUAAAAAAAAAAAAAAAAUUGUUGAGUAAAUAAUAUUAUAAAGUUUAUCUUCUUUUUAUUUGAUUAAAAAAAAUUGUUUGAUUUUAUGGAUGAUGUUUACCCAUUGUCUAGGAGAAUCACUUCUCGUUUCUUCGUUGUUCUUUCACUUGGCCUCUUAACGUUGAUGAUGAACGUAGGUUUUACUUUGACAGCAAAUCCUAUAAUAUCUGAGAACACAAAAGAAAAAAAAUUUCCAGAAAGAAUUCAUUAGCCAGCGGAAAAAAAAAAAAACCUUAGAUAUCAUGAAUUUCUACACCAAUGUUUUCACUAAUGUCAUGUGGAGUGUUCCUUUUUUAUUAUUAUUUUUAUUUUUAUUUUUUUUCCCUUCUUCAAUAAAUAGCUUAAUAAAAUAGGACCUGAUAUAAAAUAUGGGUAGAGUUUUUUGAAUAUUAGAAUUAAUACUUAGUAAGACUUUCCGAACAUUAUUGGAAACUAUGCAUUUGACUGAAAAAUAUAAUUACAAUGACGAUAUCUCUACUAGCAAAAUUUCGUAUGUCAUUGAAUUGAGGAUAAGAGUUUGAUAUCUUAUAGCAUAUGUGUUCUUCAAUCUCUUCUACUUCCGUUGUAGUUGUGAAAGACAAUUCGAUUUCAUCAUUCACAUUUUGGUAUUGACAGGUCUUACAUUUUUAUUUCGUAUAAUGUAAGAUUUCCCCUUUUCAAUUAUAGCAUCGAGUUUUUGAAUUGCAUCAUUGAAUAACAUGGCUUGAAUUUUAUAUCCCUAUAGAGAAAUCACUAUGUUACUUCUAAUAUACCCGAUUGAAUAAACUCAAACAUGAAUAUACCACAUAAUCAUUACUCCAUUACCAUCAAUACUAAAUUCAAAUAAUCCAGUGUAGCAUAAAUAUUCGGUGCAUAUCAAGAGCAAAUAUUUAUUCACUACAACCUAAGUCGUCAGAUUAGAACCUAAGUCAUCAAAUUAGUAAAAUAAAAGUUUUUUUCCUUUCUUUCCUUCCUUUGAUCUCCACACCAUCUCAGAUUCUUACUAUUAAUUUUACUGUACAAAUAUAAAAGUCAAAAACAUAAGAUCCUGUGAGAUAAAUUAAAGUAUUCUUGAUAAAGCAAAAGACUUUUAGAAGCACGUAAAGAUAUGAGGGAAAUGAAAUAUUUAUGCCAUGUCAGUAUUUGAAUCUCAAAGAUGAAUUCAGAAUUAUUAAAUAUAAGGGUCAUCAUAGUAGAUAUAUUACCUCCUUGUCAAUUAGGAUGAUAUUCAAAAGAUCAAAUUUUCCAGCAUUUUGGAAUAAAAUUUGACUAAAUCCUUUCGAACUACCGUCAGUUUAAUGUACCAUUCAUUUUCAUACGCCAAUAAAUCUCUUAUAGCCUAUGAUUCCAUGAAGGGGGAGAGCAAAAUAUUUGAUGAUUUGAUUGAAAUGUGACAACAACCAAUUUGUGAAAAUAAUUUAAAUAGUUGAGGGAUUAGUUCAUUUAUGUCUAAAACUCAUGAUAACAAUCAAAUUCAUUCAUGAACAUGAAAUCUAAUUAAUUCCAAUUGAUGCUGCUGAUGCGUGUCACAUAUAUACAAUGUAUGAUUAUCACUUUAUGGGUGAAUGCAUGCAUUUAGGUAAAUGUAUUCAACAUAUAAUUACCACUAUAUGUGUCCAUGCAUGCAUUUAUGUAAAUGCUUUAGUAAGAAUUGGAUAUACAAUGUAUAAUUAUCACUUUAUCUUUCAAUUUCUAAAUCUUUAAUUGAGUGUCAUAAGACUCGGCUUCUGAAAUCAUCAACCUAGCAACUUGAUUUUAUCCUUGACCACCUUUUCAAACAGCCUCAACACGUCCUCAUAAUUAUUAUACAUGCAUGUGCAUGUAAAUAAAUAACUGAAUCGUAAUAGGGCUUGUAAGUAGUAGUGCUAGAAUCGUCCGAAAAAUGAUUUUCCCUUCAUGUGAUAUUUAGUGUAUUAUAGAUUUUUAUCCCCAACAACUUGCAUAAUAGUUAUGUAGGAAAUCAUCAUUUUUGUUAAAUCAAUUAUAUGAUUUACUUUUCUUUCAGUUGAGAAGAAAACCGACAAAAUUUGUUUUAGGUGAAAAGAAAAAUCAAAUAGAAAAUAUUUUGCUUACGUAGAAGAAAUAAAUGAGGAUAAUUUCUCACCGUACUUGUUGGUCCCAAUCGAUCUUUCAACAAUUAAUUUUAGGCACAAAUUUCAUAAGAUUCACAAAUUUUCAACCACAUUUCAUCAAUUUUUAUCAGAAUCUACUAAAAUACACCAAACAAGGGCUUAGUUCGUUUGUAAUAUUAUUGUCCAAUGAGAAAAAGUUUUUCAACAAUUUGACGUGUAAAUCGACAUUGAAUACGUGUAAUACAACCGACAGCACAUUAUAAGUAUGUUAAUUGCCGAUAUAAAAAUCAUCAACCAAGUUUAAAUUGUAUGUUAUUUGAGCAGGUAAUAAGCAACAAAACAAGGCAUGGCAUUCGUAGAGGAUAGAAUUUAGUUAAUUGGAACAUCAAAUCACCUACAUUUUUCUUGCCCAAAAGGAAACAAUGUGCUUGUAAAUAAUUUAUAGACCUUUCACGAUUAACCAUUUAAGCUAUGCAGUGACUAUUUUAGCUUUAGACAUUCUCUUUCUUUCCGUUCUAUUCUUGCUUUCAGAAGUCUCUGCGAGAAAUACAAAAUUGCAGAUUUAUGGGGUAAAAAUCAAAAGAAUGUCUCUUAACUCACACUAGACGGCCUGCUGCAUCAUAUACUCGCUCCCUGAUGCACUGGUGCUUGUAUGGGACAAGUGCAAAUCCGAUCCCUACAAAAGAUAGCUUUCAGAAGCCCAAUGCUUAAACUCAUGUGAUGAACUCAGCAUCGGAGAUGCAAAGAGAUAGGACGAACAUCACUUUCACUUAUUAGUAAAUUACUGGGUUUAAAACAAGUUCACAACGAGUAAAGGUGAAGCUGAAUCCAUGAGUAGUAGUAGUACAAUAUAAGAAGUUUCAUACUUCUUGACAUUUUAUUUCAAGCUCCACAGGUACAUUUUUGUAGCACAGGACACGUAUCCGAAUUGAUAUCAUAUAUAAACCUCAAACGCCUAAAAUUCUUGGGCAGACUAGCUCUUUCACAACUCGUAAUGUCUCAAAUUCGUAUGUUUACGAGAAGUGAUAAAUAUCCUUGAAUGUAUCGGCUCUGGUUAUUCACCGUCUGUUUCUAUGGCAUGUAUCAAUCAAAUAAUUAUAAUAACUAUUGAGUCUUUUUCACAAAACAAGGGGUAGUUAAAGAUUGGAGAACUUUUCUAUCAUUAUCCAUAAAUAAGGAAAUCAAACCAAUUAUAUGCUCCUAUAAAACAGAAAAAAAGAGUAGGUAAUGUUCUCUUCUCUUUACACUAAUAACAGUACAGGACUCGUGAUUAUCUUCCUGAUCAUUCGGCAUCAAGAUGAUGGAAUUCAAUUAUAGCACCGGAGUUUACCAACCCCAGGAUAAAUUAAGUAAGUUGUUAGAAUUCCAACAAGAGAUAGGAGUUGCAUCAACUUCGGAAGAAAUUAUGUACAAUCGAGAUAACUAUGCAAUGUGUGCAUGCCACCACGAGUGAUGCUUAAUGAAAAGCUGCAGGAGUACAAUUUGAAUUUAGAUGGCCUAAAAAGAAACAGCUGCAGGGCUUCCAUCCAAACAAGCAAAUUUAGUCUUGAGGGUUUUAAGAUACAAGAAUUAUUUUGCAACAACCACUUAUUUAUGUUUAAAUAAAUAGUCUAUUUGACAAUUACUCUCUCUGUCCCAUGUUAUUCUUCUAGAUCACUAUUUCAAUUUGUCCUAAAAGUUAUUUUGGUCACUAACUUGAGACUCUAGAUUCUGAUUAUACACCUUGUCAUGUUAUAGUGGGACAAGGCUUAACUGAAGAUAAGAAAUAAACUACCCACUGCAAUAUUAAAUGGAAGUUCAACUUGGGACAGACUUGAAUCGUCAAAAUUGACUUCUCUUCAGAAUUUGACCACUUCUGCACUCAUAUACUUAGACCCACUCAUACAAAAGCUAAGGUUAAUAGGGGCAAAAGAUUUCAUGACAAUCAGAUUUCAUAACUUUUGACAGCACAAGAGGGCCAAUAAAUAAUUUAAUAAGCGUAAUUCUAAGACCACAUAUGUAUAGUGAUAAAAAAUUACUUAAAAGCUAAACCUGACUAGUCAGAAAUAUUGAGUAAAUUUGUAAUAGUUCAACCUACGAGUUUGUAUAGGUCUUUAACUCUUUUCUCUUGACAUAUUUGCCUUCAACCUUAAGUUUGCAGAACUUCUAGAAGCAUUGUGUCUUCAUCCUAUCAAACUUUUUAGCUCUGUAAUCGGCAAUCUGAAGUAAGUAAAUGAUUUUCAUCUAUUUGACCUUUGCGAUAAUAUAUGCGACUAUUUGUUAAAAGAGGUCAUUACCUAAUAUUGGAACCACCUAAGAGCAAAUUUGAUAGAUAAUAUUAAAUAGUAUAGCAUAACAUUUUUUUUUAAUUACUAUACUGAAUAGGCGAAUACCGUCUUUGCUUCCAAACAAUUCAUAAUUCCUUCACCCAUUUAUAUGGAGGAAUGAUCGAAUCAUAAAAUCAUGAUUUUAUAACCAUGGCCAAAAAGUGAUCUACUAUUGUAACUUGAGGGGAUGAUACUUACAACCCUAAUUCUUAGCUAGAUUCAGAAUGUAAAGUGGGACGAGCAGAGCUAGAUUUUUCACGUGCGAGUCACUCGUCGGCUCAUACAAGAGCCAAGAAACAAAACAUUAAAAAUUAUGCAAGCAUUAACAUUCCUCUCUAGAUUCCAAUUCUCUAUAGGAUGAAGGACGGGCCUUUUUUCACUUCUUCUUGCUCUUCAUUAUUAUCUAUGUAUUAAACUUUAAUGAUUUAUAAUUAUAGCAUUUAUUAAAUGUAUAUAACUAUUUGUGAUAUAACAUGAUUUCUUUUAUUGCAAAUAGAAAUCACCACAAACUCCAAAAGCUCAAUUAAUUAAAGAUCAAAUAUAUGAAUAUUUUUUUUUUGCUUUUUGUUCGGUUAACUACUAUUUAUACCUUGAACUACACAAAUCUUUUUCACUAGAUUUAAUUUGAUUGAUCUCUAUAUGGCGGCCUUAAAAUGAACAAGUUGAUUCAUACCAUGGCUUACUUCGCCAUGCUCUUGAGAUUUUUUUUUUUGUUUAUUUAUCACUUAAAAUCAUUGAAAAGCACAAAAAUUACAAAAAAUCAACCCUAUACAAGCUCAAAUAACAUGUGGUCCCACAUCCUGAUUGCGCCAAUCAACUGUGGUAGAAGCACCAUCCCCUGUCCCUGAAAAUAUGCAUCGUACAACUUAUUAUUCCUUUGAGUAUCGUAGCUCGUUGCUUCACCAUCGAUAAUCUUCAGUCUAGUCAUGAUGGCAAAACCCAAGUAUAGAGAAAUUAGUGACCUUGCCUUUGAGGUUGAAGUAGAGUGCAUUCGCCAUUGACUUACCUAAGUAGUUGACAUAGUAAUGCAUCAAUGAUCUAUCUAGAAUACUUCACCUUUCUCAACUGAUACAGGGGCCACAUGAAGGACUUGAGUAGUAUAUCUCCAUGCUAAUCAUCGAGCAACUCCAAUAUAGUAAUAAAACUGUCAAAACUACUAUUUCAAGUAUAUUUACCUGCCAUUUGUCUCAACUCAGCAUCGAGAUGGUAUUCCAUUCUAAAAAAAUUCAAAUGUUAGAACAUUUUGCAAGAAAUAAUGGAAUAAAGCAUAAUUUCAGAAAUUUAAACGAACUGAAUUUUAACUAUUGUAUGCUAGAAAUAGAUUCAUUUUACAUCGAUACUAAUAAAAAAAGAAAUGAUUUAAUAAAUUAAAGGGGAAAAGAAAUAAGAAUUACAGAUAAAAAUAAAAAAAUUUAAAUGAAUUAAAUAUACAAAAAAUUUAAAAUUAAAGAAAUAAAUAACAAAAAUAAUAAAAAUUAAAGAUCUAAUAUUAAAAAGUUGAAUGGAAAAAAAAUAAAUUAUGACAAAUAGAAAACAAUUAAGAAAUUUUUUUAAAAAAGAAGAAACUAAUAAUAAAUUAAAUUAAGUAAAAAUUAAAGACCAACAUAGAAAAGGAAAAAUAAAUUAAUGAAAAUUAUAAAAUAUAAAAAUUAAAGCAAGAGUAUUUAAAAAAUCAAAAUGAAAAAAAUUUAUAUAAAGAAGAAAAAAAUUAAGAAAUUUUAAAAUUAUUAUAAAAAAAUAAAAAGAAAAAAAUUAAACGAAAGGAAAUUAUAAAAUUAAAUUAAGAGUAUAAAUAUUAUUUAAUUAAAAUCGAAAAAUUAAACUUUAUCAUAAAGAAAAGAAUUAAAAAGUAUUUAACUGAAAAAGAUUUAUUUAUAAUAUGAAGCAAACAAUUAAGAAAUUUUAAAACUAUUACCUAAAAUGUAAUAAUAAAACAAAAAAAAAUUAGACAAAAGGAAAUUAUAAAAAUUAAAUAAAGAAUAUGAAUAUUAUUUAAAAUUGAAAAAAAUUAAAUUAUCAUAAAGAGAAAAAUACUAAUAAACAAUAAAAAAUCAGGAAAAAAAAAUAAAAAUCGGCCCAAAAAAAUUGGGUUUGCCCAAUUGAAUAUUAAACAAUCGGGUUCAACAAUUGUUAACAGUUGCUUUUUCCAUUUUUAGCCGAAAAUGAGGCAAUCACAGCCCCCAAAAAAUACUUAAAUCUAGUCUACACCCGAGCAUCUAUCUAAAUACUAAACAAUAAACUAAAUGGAUGUUAAAUUUAAUCUUUACUAUAUAUGAAAAAUCAAUUUCAUAAUCACUAAACUACCAUUGUUGAAGAUAACUUCGCUCAAUGACUGGGUUGUGGAAGUCGAAGUUGGGUUGACUAUGAGGGUGGUGUGUUCGACUGGAUCCCAAUUGAGUUUUUUCUUUUCUCUCUCCACUGUUUGCACAAGAUGAGGCGAGGGUAUUUUUUUUAUUUUUGAUCUUUCACCUCAUAAUUUAACUUUUUACUCUUUUUUUAAUGGUCAAAGGCUUUAUUAGAAAUAUGCCUAGGUCAACCGGCCAUUUCCAUGUAUUUCCUCGAUUAUAUUAUCACCACAAUAAAUGUUUGGUACACCACAAAAUUUCUUAUCUAUUUAAAUGAUUUUUGAGUAAAGUGACAUAAAUAUCAUAUAUUAUUAGCUUCUAUAUUUAUUCAUUCUUGUUAGGAGUAUGACUCAAAUAGGAAUCUUUUGAAGAGGCGAAUUCGACUUGGACUAAGAAAAUAUUAAAUUAGGGUUUAAGGAAACAAAAUCCUAUUGAAAUUGGGUCUCCUAAUAGUAAUGUGUUUUCUUGCCUUUUACGACUCUUCUAGGAUUGGCCUAUAAAUACGAGACUCCUCUGGUUAAUUUGUAGAGAGUAACAUAGAAGCAGUAUGAUAGUCUAUUUUGUAUUCUCCAUACUGUUGAAUUAAUAAAUAUUGUUCCUCUGUGUUUACCCCUUGUUUUGUUUCUUUACAAAUUCAAUCUUGUGUUCUCGUGAUGCGAUCUAGUAAACUUCAAUAUUGUCAUUAAAUCUCGUUAUUUAAAAUCCGAUUUGGAAUCAAUGUGUGUUAUUGGAGCUUUCGCGCCCAAUAGGUGGUAUCAGAGCGAGGUUGUUGAUUUUCUGUGGAUUGGUUAAGAUUCUUUCGAAAUGGCUAGGUUGAAGUAUGAUGUUCCGCUGUUAGAUUGCAAUACAAGGUUUUCAUUAUGGCAAGUAAAGAUGAGGGCUAUUUUAGCACAGUUGGAUUUGGAUUAUGCGUUGCUGGGUAUUGAGAGGAUGCCAGCUGGUUGGAUAGCGGAGGAGAAACAAUGGAAGGAUCAAAAGGCCGUUUCAUUGAUUCAUCUUCAUCUGUCCAACAAUAUUUUCCAGGAUGUCUUGAAGGAGAAAAUGGAGGCUGCUUUGUGGUUGACGUUGGAACAGUUGUGUAUGAUUAAGAGUCUUACAAGUAAACUAGCUCUCAAGCAGAAGCUGUAUUCACAUCGCAUGGCAGAAGGAGGGUCGUUGGAAGACUAUGUUGCCAUGCUCAAGGAAAUAGUUGCAGAUCUGGAGACAUUGGAGGUUAAGUACGAUGAAGAGGAUGUUGCCUUGAUCCAGUUGUGUUCGCUGCCUGGAUCUUAUGCGUCAUUUCGGGAUACUAUCAUAUAUAGUUGAGAUACUUUAACUAUAGAAGAUGUUUAUGAUGCUUAACACUCAAAGUAGAAAAUGAAGCAUUUGGUUGGAGCUAUAUCAAGGGAUGGGGAAGCUCUUGUAUCUUAAAGUGGUCAAUGAAGAGGCAGAUCAAGAGUUAGAUUUAGCAAUGUGACCUAUUACUACUACAAAAGGAAGGGACAUAGUCGGAAGGAUUGCGAUAUGUUGCAAGCUAAAGGUGAUUUAGCUGUAAAUUGUGGGGUGCAACCUUUGAAUUCAGACGAAACCAAUGUAGUUGAGAAUUGUUCAGGUAGCGAAGAGGUGAUGUUGACCGUGGUAUCUGAUGUGGAGUCUAGGCCUGAUGAGGAGUGGAUUUUUAAUUCAGCAUGUUCGCACCAUAUGUGUUCCGAUAGGAAUUUAUUUAAGAGAUAUAAGGUUGUUCAGCACGGUGGGGUUGUAAUGGAAAACAACCAAUCUUGUUGUAUUGCUUGGAUCAGUCGAGUCAGAUUGAGGCUGCAGGAUAGAACAUUUAGAACAAUUAAUCAACUUCGACAUGUUCCUGACCUGAAAAGUAAUCUCAUUUUGUUAAGUACCUUGGAUGCAAAAGGGUAUAAAUUCUCUGGAAGAGGUGGAGUCUUGAAGGUCUAAAAGGGAGUUCGAGUUGUACUAGAGGGACGGAAAAGAUCCCAAUUGUACAUUUUGUAGGGGAGUGCAGAACUAGUUAAGAGGAGACAUUUGGACAAGUUUAGUACCGUGGUGAAAGUUCAGUUUUGGUACAGUACUUCUUAUGUUAGGCUCUGAGUCGAUUCAGAACACUGCUAGGGAGAACGUUGGUGAUUUCGCUUUGCAUCGAUUUCAGCGAAUAUACUGUGUUCAGUUGCUGGAAUAGGACUCAUCAAGCGUAGGUACUGUGGUGUCAGUAAUAUCUGGGAUGCUUUUAGAGAAGUUAAAGGCGAUAGUUCCAGCAAGGGCCCUUCUAAUAAAGUAUCUGGUUUGGUUUUUCCUACAGGGUAUGGUUCGGCCCUUUGUGAUCAGCAUUAAUUCCUUGGUAGAAUUGAAACCCUAGGGAUUGGGUUCUGGUGUCGGCUGUGGACGCCGGGUAGAGGAUGAGUGUUUAGCUUAUAUGGAGUGGUUACUGUGUUGAGGAGAUUCGGCCAGUUAGUUUCGAUGCAGAUGAAUUUGAAAUCUAGAAGUUUCGUUUGUAGCACCGAAAUUAAAGUCGAGGUGGAGAUUGUUAGGAGUAUGACUCAAAUAGUAGUCUUUUGAAGAGGCGUAUUCGACUUGGACUAGGAGAAUAUUAACCUAGAGUUUAAGAAAACUAAGUUGAAUAAGAAAACAAAAUCCUAUUGAAAUUCGGUCUCCUAAUUGUAAUAUAUUUUCUUGCCUUUUAGGACUCUUCUAGGGUUGGCCUAUAAAUACGAGGCUCUUCUGGUCAGUUUGUAGAGAGUAACAUAGAAGCAGUAUUGCUAGUCUAUCUUGUAUUCUCUAUACUGUUGAAUUAAUAAAUAUCGUUCCUCUACGUUUACCCUUUGCGUUCUUUCUUUACAAAUUCAAUCUUGUGUUUUCGUAGUGUGAUCUAGAAUACUUCAAUACUGUCAUUAAAUCUCGUUCUUUAUAAUCCGAUUUGGAAUCAACGUGUGUUAUUGGAGCUUCCGCGCUCAACAAUUCUCAAGUUUGCUCUGAUACAACGAAAGGAACGACCGAUGUUGAUAAAUGAAUUGAAGGAGAAAAGUAUACAUUUGUUCCAUAGAAAUAAAAGGCAGGCACAUUUUUGUAUACAAGAAAUUACAUAACUAAUUUACAUGAAAAUAGUUAACUGAACAAACUCCGUUAGUGAUAUCUAUUUUUUUGUUCGGAUUUGAUUCACAUAUUUCAACAAGAAGUAACCUUUUUUUAUUAAAUGAGCAAGUAGUAACUUAGAAUAAAAUUUGGUGGGCAAUUAUUAAUUAACUCUAAAACAUACAUAAUUCUAAAAUACGUAAAGAAACAAUCGAUAAUUCUAAAAUACGUAAGGGAACAAUCGAUAGAGAAGAUGAACUUGCAUGGUGAAAAACCUAAAAGAAAAACCGGAAUUGGUAUUGGCUUUUGUGAAUUCAGAGGGCUUUUCUCUUCUUAAAUUGUGAGAGAGAGGAGAGAGAAUAUAAGAAAUGAAAGCUAAAAGCGAGUCAACUUUUUGGAAAGCUUAGAAUGCAUUUGAUUUGUUAUUUUCAGUUUUUAAUUUUGUAAUACACUGAAAACAUGUUUGAUUUGGUAUAUCUAAAAAUACAAUUUUGAAAAUAAGGACAAAAUUAUAACAUAAAAUUCAAAACACAUUUUCCAUGUCUUGUGUGUUUUCAGUGAAAAUUAAAAAAUACAAAAUAUAAAAUUCUAACAAAUAAUACUUUAUAUUUUAAAAAAUUUAAAAAAAAUAAUUUCUAAAAUUUAAAAUUAAAAGUUGAAAAAUAAAAUUAAAAAAAUAAAUUUUUUAAGCACAUAAUGAUGAUUUAUAUAAAAAUUCAAAAAAAAAUUAAAAAAAUUAUAUUCUUAGUCUACAUCAUUAAUCUUUAUUUUUAUUUUCUAUAUGUUAAAAUCAAUUUAUUAUUUAUUUUUAUUUUACUUUUAUAGCGAGACAAAAUAUUGUAAGAUUCACCAACUUUAAAAUGUAUAUGUUACAUGAUAAUAAAAUGUCAUAAAUAAUUUUUCAAAAUUCAAAUUGUUGGGUUUUUUGAUACCCAAUAAUCCAGGCGAUGAUUUAAAAUAGUUGUCAGAUUAUUUAUCGACACAAUGGACUUGGCUCGACUCGGAGAUAAACUACACUUUUGGAUGGUUCGGGUUUGGGUUGGAUGAUUAUUUGGUUAGUUGGACCAUUUAGUGAUUAAUAUGGAGUUGAAUAUUGGCCCAUAGUUUAGGUUAAUUGGUAACCCGCUUAGUGAACCCUAGACCCAAUUAGAGUGACCUAAACUAACCUAUAUAUAUGUAUUUAUCUCCCAGUCGUUUUUGGUGGUGGUGUGUGUUGUAGCAAUGGAGAUGAGAGUUGAGAGAAGAGAGGCAACCAUGAGAGAGGGAAGCCAUGUGAGGUUGUAAGUAAGAUUCAACUAUUGUUCUUCUUCCUCUCCAUACCUUUAUGGAUUGCUAACACCACCACCCUUCUCCUUUGUGGGGUUAGAGAGAAAGAGAACAGUCCAAAGUAAAGGUGAAAGUCUCGGGUCGAGUCAAGGUAAACCGGUAUUCGUUUGAUUAUUUUCUGAGCCCGAAAUCAAGAUUUAUCGAGGGAUUUCCACUACAAAUGGUAUCAGAACUUGUGUUAUUGAUAAAUCUGUGAUUUUUAGGGCUAAAAACGGGCUGGAAGUGGUCAGAAACGGGUUUGAAAAUCAGAGGCAGAAACUAUUCGAUUUUUUCAAUUUUCUACCGAAUCUGUUUUGGCGUAUUCUGAUGAAACCAAAAACAGUUUGGAGAAACGGACACCACCAUUGGACUGUGCAGGUGGAGACAAUUCAGAAAGGUUGGGGCGGCACGCGGCGCGUGAGGGUGCGUCUGGAGGAUUCCAGCGAAGUGGUCUUCAGACAGAAUCUUCCCCAUGACGAGAUGGACCCUGCAGUGUUUUCAGAUUUCAAUUUGGAGUAAUACAGUGAAAGUUGAACGAUUUUGCCCUUGGACGUUCGGGUGCCGAGUGCUGUUUUCGUGUUGCUGUGAUUGCUGUUGACUUUAGGAUGAAGAGUGAUAGUCCUGAAGUGGUGAAUUCGCGUCUCUCGAUAUUUACGGACCUUCAGACGUGGUCCGCUCGGUAUCGUAUUCUUUACUUUAUAUUAUAACAGUUAAAAUAAAUGUGUAGAGUAAUUUAUUUUUUGCAUCAAAGGUCAUCGUGUGGGUUACAUUAGGUUUGGGGUUACCAUGAAGGGGUAACCAUUGCCUAUUGCUAGACCUAGGAAUUAUUUGUUAAUUAUUUGCCUUAAAUUCUUUGUGAAUUUGCUGUCAAUUUUUCUACAUUAUUAGAAUUGUAUGUGGCCUUGGGAAAGUUUACUGGAUUAUUCUAUGUGAAUUAUGUUCAUACUUUACUUGUGGUCAUUAUUUGACAUUGGGGGUAAAUGAGGUCUAAGGUAAGUGGGAAAAAUAACAUAUAUUUUAACUAUGGUAAAAUUUGGACAUAGUUGAAAGAGAUUGUCCUAGGAUGAUAAUAAAAGGAAAGAUGAGGAUAGAGACAAGGCGAAUCUGGCUUUACAAGCAUAGUGGGUUAAGUUUUGUGACGUAAUCUAUUUGCUCUGUGAGUGGUGUAAGAGUGUGGUAGUGAGAAGAAAGUUGGGCAGCCGUUUCUCUCCUUCAUCUUUGUGAGCCUGUGUGAUUUGUGAGAUUAUAUAAGGCAGUCAUGUUAGGGUUACCUUCUUUAUCCUUGUGAGCCUUUUUUUGUGAGUGUAGUGAAGUAACCGACUCUUUCUUCGAUUCUCUUUGAGAGUGUCACCUUCACUAUUUUCUUUGUGAAUUUUUGGGAGCAUUGGUGAGUGGAUUAACCUUUGUGGUCACCGAAAGGUGUUGAUUUGUCAUAGUGAGUUUGAGAUGCAUUAGCAGUGAGUUGGAUGUCUUUUGGUAAAGUGGAGUAUAGAUGCCUAGGGGUACAUGGUGAUUUGUACUGAGGGAUGUAGAGUGUGACAUUUGGAUCACGAGUGGAGAUGUCAUCAAAUGUGUAGAGUCAUUUAUCUGUGAAAGAGACCCUGUACAAGUGGAGUGUGAGAGAGGCACUUCUAUCACUUCUGUAAAGUGGAGUCCCAUUAUCCACGUAGGUUGAGAGAAGUGAUGUGGUGAUAGAGGAUUAUCCCGAGAGUUUAGGAUCUAUUAUGACUUACCAGUUAGACAUGAGUUAAGUGAGCAUUGUGGGCGAUGAGAGGAGAUAUGUGUUCUCGAGAUGGGAGUAACACGGAAUGUGAUAGGAUAAGUGUGGUGAGAUUUUUCAUGGGGUCAUUUAUGUAUUUGUUGCAUAUGUGCAUGACCUUGUGUUGAUUAACUAAGUGUUAAUCUGUGGUUCUGUGUGAACGUGGUUUUGAAAAGAUCUGUGUGUGUGUGUUAUCCUAUAUAUCUUCAUCGCAUGAUUAUUUGUUCAUUGUGAAUACUUGUUUCUACUUGGGUAUUAUUGACCUUAGCCCUGGUGAGUAUAUGGAGCAAGUAUCGUAUGUGUUUCAGGUUGGAAACACAAGGUAAGGUCUGUUAUUCCAAUUUUAUUGGAUUACCUUGAUUGUGCAAGUAUAAAUUGUGUGUUUUGGUUGCUUGCAGAUUAUUGGGCAUCAAGGUGGAGAUUGUUAGGUUUUUUGAUACCCAAUAAUCCGGGCGAUAAUUUAAAACAGUUGUCAGAUUAUUUAUCGACACCAUGGACUUGGCUCGACUCGGAGAUGAACUACACUUUUUGAUGGUUCGGGUUUGGGUUGGAUGAUUAUUUGGUUAGUUGGACCAUUUAGUGAUUAAUAUGGAGUUGAAUAUUGGUCCAUAGUUUAGGUUAAUUGGUAACCCGCUUAGUGAACCCUAGACCCAAUUAGAGUGACCUAAACUAACCUAUAUAUAUGUAUUUAUCUCCCAGCCAUUUUUGGUGGUGGUGUGUGUAUUGUAGCAAUGGAGAGGAGAGUUGAGAAAAGAGAGGCAACCGAGAGAAAGGGAAGCCAUGUGAGGUUGUGAGUAAGAUUCAACCAUUGUUCUUCUUCCUCUCCAUACCUUUGUGAAUUGCUAACACCACCACCCUUCUCCUUUGUGGGGUUAGAGAGAAAGAGAGCAGUCCAAAGUGAAGGUGAAAGUCUCGGGUCGAGCCAAGGUAAACCGGUGUUCGUUUGAUUGUUUUCUGAGCAUGGAAUCAAGAUUUAUCGAGGGAUUUCCGCUACACAAAUCAAAUGUGUUUCUUGUUUUUUUUAUUUUGAAAAAUAAUUUUUCAAAAUGACAAACCCAAUGCGUUUUUAGUAAUUUUAAAAUAGACCCUCAAAAUAUAUAACAGAAAAAUGAACUUAAAACUGAAAGACAAACCACUCUCAUGGAUGCAAAUUAUUCCUACGUUAUAUAAUUUUUUGUUAUUUCCCUUUUCUUCUUUGUUUGGCUAAGCUAAAAUUUUUUAAAAAAUUAAAAAAAAAUAAACAGAGGGUAAGCAUUAUUUUAAGCAAUAAUAUUAUAAAAGUUAUUUUAUCCUUGAGUAAAAAGAUCGAAGGUCUAUUCUUAGUUUAACCGUUACAUCAAAAUCAUAAAAUCCACCACUUAUCGGCCUAUGCUCGAUCAACUCGAAGCAGCUGGGAGGUCUACCCCCAUACAAUCCAUUAGACUGACAUUUUUUUCUUUCACUUUAUUUUGCUUACCCACACUAGAUUUAUAGAAUUAAUUAUAGGGUUACAAUAUGUAAACAGUGUCAUUCCUCAUACAUAAAGAGAUAUUUACAGAAUAUGAAUAUAAUAUUAUUCAACUAGCUCUUCAAAUGAGACUCAAUAAAUAAUUGUAGUUCUAUUUAGUUGAUAAUAGGGUUAACAUAUAUACAAAUGACAUUGUUAUUAAAGACGCUAUAUUAUUGUCCAAAACUUCGUCCUUGCUCCUUUAUUUCCAUGUAAAUGCAGUCAUUUUUGUCAUUGGUUUUUAACAUAAAACAUCUUAUUUAAAGAUUUCCAUAUGAGCUAAAUUAAUAGACGAUAUUUAAAAGCAUGUCCAUUGUAGGUCGACAUCACACAAAAAAAUGGACAAUGUCUAGGCAAUGAUAUAGAUGCAGAGACUUUAUUAAACAUUCUCGCUCAGCAAUUCAAUUGAUUAUGUUUCUCAUUUUCUUUUUUUAUAUAUCAGAUUUUCUUUCCCUUUCACUCUAUUUUAUUAUUUGUAUUUUAAUGUUGAUAAAGGACAUUAUAUAUGCUAAAAUAUUGAAAUAUAAAUGAAACUCAUUGGAGAACAAUUAUAAACUUGACAUCUAUUCUUAGACAUCAAUAACAAUUUUCAUAUCUACUAAAAAUCCAUAUAUUCAAAAGUCACAUGGGUCGCUAUUCACGAAAUGCAUUGAAGAUGCUAGAGUCAAUUCCAGUUGUCUCAAAUAGCUGAUGAGAUCCAUUAACUUAUUUUAACUUUAAAAUCAACUCAAUUGGUAGAGAAUAAAAAGGAGAAAGUAAAUUGUAUAGAAGAUACGAUUAAAUAAUGAAAUACCUAAGCAUUAAUAUUUUUGUUCAUUUCUAGAACUGAAAAAUAAAAUAAAAUAUGGGAAAUCACUCCUAGGCAAUAAUUAAAGAGAGGUUGUAUUACCACCACAAGAAAUGGUUGGUAUGCCACAUUUUUCUUAUUUAUUUAAAUAAUCACGAAAUAACAUAGAUCUCAUAUAUUAUUAGCUUAUAUAUUUAUUCAUUCCAUCACCAUCAUCCAUACACGUUGCAUUUUCAUUAUAAUAUACUAACGAUUAAUAGAUAUUAUUUUACAAACAAUCUAACUUAAUGUUUUUAGAUUAACUGUAAAUCUCAUUAGAAAUCUACAAAUUGGCUAGCUAAAACUUUGGUCAAACUUAAUUCAUUUUACUACUAGUCAAUUGAUAUGGAAAGUUUCCUCAGCAAAAUUAUUUGAAUAUGAGUUGGCGUUCAACUUGUUCAAUUCAAUCUCAUUCAAUAAGUCGUUCAUUUAUCAAACAAUUGAAAUCCGUAGUGAACACUGAAAUCCAAUCAAUCCUUAAAUGACAAAUGAAAUAUUGAUGAAAAAGAAGCUGAACCUUUCCAGAUAAAAUUCUACUUUCCAAAGAGUUCAAGUUGAUUCAAUAACUCUUUAUAAAAUUGAUUAUUUUCCGCCAUAUAUAUGUUCCUUAACAGAUUAAAAUUCAAACUAUAUGAACAUAAAUUUAUUUAAGCAACUAAAUUAAUUAUUUUUAUGCCAUAAUUAUAAUUUCAGCUCAAGAUGGAUAUGAAGCUAACAAGGGCGCGCGUAUGCACGAAGAAUUCCUCCAUGCUCUUGCAUGCAAUUUAAGAAUUUCUCUGGCUCUCUCCUUUGUCUUUGAUCCUCGAUCAAAAACUUCCAGUACCAGGCACAAUUUUGCCACUGCACCAAUCUGCAACAUUUCUUGUAAAACUCCAGGAGUUGCUGAGAACUUCGAUAUCGAAUGUAGAAUUCUUAUUCCGCUCUCAUUUGCUGUAGAUGAAACCCUAAGAAUCUUCUUCGAAACAAUGGCUAAUCCUGCGCUGUGAUUCAACAGUUCUGCUCUUCCCUCGGCGCAUUUGCAUAGCAAAUUCAGCUCCAUAAGCAUCAAUUCGGAAGCCCUUUUGUCAGAAGAAUCGAGUAAAAGGUCAAUCAACAAGGGCACUGCUCCAGCUUCCACUGCUUUAAUCCUGUUUUUUUCCCAUGGACAUACCUUGAUAAGAACUUUCAGUGUGGCUUUUGAGACCUUCCGAGAGAUUUGAUCGUUCAAGAUAUCUACUAAUUCGUGGAAGAAUUCGGAUCUGAGACUGAUCGGUUGAUUUGGAUCAGCCACUUCGAACAUGGAUUUCAGAAACAUGACAGCAUAGACACGAGAAUCAUAGCUCCCGGAUUGCAUGACGCUCGUUAAGGACAGGAUUAACUCGAUAUUAUUCUGCAAGAGGGAUUUGAGCCCGGAUCCCGAUAGCUGGAGAUUAUAGAGAAUGAUAGCUGGAGAUUAUAGAGAAUGCUCAAGGCUUCAUCACUUGCUCUUCUCAACUCAAUCACAUCUUCUGAUACUUCUGCUGAAGAUGCCUCUACGGUUUUCUUCACGAUUAACGAAGCUAAGAACUCAGCCGUGCCUGCUGUUUCCAUGCAUCUUUUAUUCGUUUCGUUGUGAGAAGCAAUGGAUCUGAGUCUUGCUUGUUCGGAGAGUUGGCAUCAUUGAAAAGCUUCAAAAGUUGGGACUUACUGAUUGGAGCUUUCGGGGUUGGGAGCCUCUCGAUGCCUUCUGGAGCAUGGAGGGUGCACCAGGAUUGGAUAAACUGCCGGAGAAUAAUGUUUGGGAUCAAUUCUGAAUCCAUAACCACUUGCUUCGUUACCGGGCAAGUAUUAUUAUUCUGAGAAAACAGCCAUUUUUCGAUGCUCUCCCGAUCAUAUGUUAUACCGGUAGAGAGCGUAACAGGAUCCUUCAUAAUCUCUAGACUGAUGGGGCAGAGAAAGUAGGAUGGAAUUUCAAUUUCAUCCAUAGAAGAAGAAGUAAUUAAAAAGAUCAAGAUUUGAUAAACCUAAGAUCUGAUCCAAAAGAAUAGGUGAUUAUACAAUUUUAAGCAAGAAAAUUAAGCUGAAGAGAAGUACAAAAAUUUUGUAAGCUAUAGAUGAAAAUCAAAGAAAGUGAGGUUCUUGAGUUGUGUGGAUUGGUUUGAAGAUUUAUGAGUUUGGAGGAUAUGGUUUUAUAUGUGUCUAUAAAGAGAGGUAAAGAUUCAAAAUGUCAAAGUCAAAACUUGGAAAAUUUUGUCUGUUCAGUUUGUGUGAAGGAAAGAGUAUUAUUGUGCUUUUUUUUCUUUUUUUUUUAAAUUAUAACAAAAACAUUUUGAACUUGGAGUUUUCUAACAUGCAAUUUGAAAAUGACAACUUUACCAAUAAUUUUCUCAUUUAAAAUUGAAACACGUGAUUAAGUCGUAUUUAACCAUGAAGGAGUAAAACUGAAGAUUCUGAGUUUGGAAAAGUUCAAUUUUGGUUUAAUUAUUUCACGAAAGUAACUUCGACCAGUUAUUAUUAUAAAAUUUCAUUCAAUUCAGUUGAACAGGUGUAGAUUUAUUUGAAUGAAUUGAAUUUGUAGUAUUUUUAUUUUAAUUGAAAGAAAAAUUGCUAGUCUAUGAGGUAAAUUGCAGUAAAUAAAGUAUAGAGAAACAAAUUUAUUUCUUCUCUAAAAGUUUCAAGAUAAGAUAAUUCAAAGUCCAGUAUCGUGUUUUUAAGUCUUUUUGCAAAUAACUUUAACAAGAAAUUAUAUAUUUAAUAGAAAAAUGAAUGUUUUCUUGUCUUCCAAAAAUAUGUAUGGUACUUCUAAUUUUAUGACUGAAACAUAUCUCAAAAUCUUUUCCCUUUUGAAAAUAUAAAAUAUAAGUAAAUAAAUCCAUUCCUCUCUUUUUUUCAUUCCCCCCCCCCCCCAAAAUGUACUAGUUUUAUUGGUAAACCCUCACUUGUGGUGGAGGAAGACCGUGGUUACAAUAUAUUACUAAAAGCGAAAAGAGGGCAAAUCCAUUCCUCUCUUUAAUCAUCGUAAACUUUUAUACAAUGUGAAUUAUUAUUAAAAAAAAAAAAAAAAAGUACUCACAUUUUUGAAUUUUUCAUUACGUAGUUAUGUUCUUAGGCUCUGAAUUAAAUAGAACAACAUAAAUUCUUAGAUAUGGAUAGAUAAAGCAAACUAUCACCCUAAUUUUUUUGUUAAUAAAUAUGAUAACAAUUUUCAUAAAAUAAUUUUUUCAACUCCAUUCUCGUACAAUAAUUCAAUACAAAACUAAGAUCCUCCUCUAAACAACCACACAACACACACCGCAUAUACUGUAUCAAGCCAAAGCGAAGAAGCUUUGUCUAUGUAUAGAGGCCACCUUGAAUUGCCAACCAAAGAAUAAAUACAUGAUGGAGAAUACAUUUAGGGAACCAUACAAAACUAAAGUCGUUCGUGAUUUUUUUAGUUCGCGCAUUCCAUCACCGACACCAACGGAUCAUAAAUGCAGGAUGGACCUACCAGUAGGUUUGCAACACAUGUAUGUGUAUUAAUCCAUAGUUGGCUGCCCAUAUUGACCAAAGCAGGUUAGCAAUGGCUCGGACUACACGGAGUUUUUAUUUAAUCUUGGUUCUAUUUGUUUCUCUUUGUUUAAGUCAACCCAAAAAAGUUAAAUUUUAUUGGGUUUUGAUUUUCUAAAAUAAUUUAUAGUCACAAAUAUUAUAUAUAUUUAGGGAACAAUAAAUUUCGAGACGAGUUUACUCAUACAGUGAUAGGAUGAACAAAGUUGUAGAUGUAAAAGUCUAAGAUGACAAAAAGAUUAUUUUCACAAUUAAUUAAUUAUUGAAUAUUUUGAGACUAAGUAAUUACAGAAAUUUGAGAACGAAAGGUUGAGAUUUAAAGCAAAAUGGACCAAGUUUAAUAUUUGUUGACUGUUUUUAGUCAACCCCCACAUGCCAAAUUGCAAGACUAUCAUCUUUUAUUGCCUAAAGGGAACUUUUUAAUUGCUUUAUGUGACCUUUGGGGCACUGACUUACCAUUUGAAUAGUUCUAAUUCCAAGGUUUGGAUUCACACUGCACUGGGGAAGCUCUUUUUGUUGGGAGAUACUCCACGAAAAAUUGAACAAAAAGUCGUCGUCGAAUUGACCUACUUUUUGCGCGUAUGAAUUGAAGUCUUUUGAGAAUUGUAAAUAUGGGCUGAAAAAUGAAUGCUUUCUCAACAGAAGGACAAAAUGCAAAAAUCCUCUUUUUUUCUUUAACAUAACUUAACUGAAGUUUUUUUCCGAGUAUUAAGUUGAGCCAAAGUCGACACAUAUGGAAAAACCAUAAAAGAAAACUCUUUUUGUGGCAUAUACAAAUCCAUGCAACUCAAUUUAACAAGCAUAACAAAUUGAAUGUCUGCAAAAUUGACAUGGAAUUGGUCAAUUUAUAGGUAGAGAGGCAUCGAUAACAAAUUUUUACUCCAAUAGUUACAAAUAGUUCUUAAUAUUGGAUCUUUUUGAAUAACACAACGAACAUGAUUUUAACUUUUUUAUACUCUCGAGUACUAUCCAAUUGACGUCACUAAAUAUGUCAUAAGUGUACAAGACACGAUAUGUUCAUUGUUACGUUUUAUAAUUUUCUUUUAGAAGCAAUAAUAUUUUAUAAUCCUAUACCUCUUUUACACUUUUAUUCUCCCAUUAAACACGUAAAUUAAUGGUUUUUGUGGUGGUUUUCACGUUAAAAGACAAAUAUUUCUUCAAACUCAAAUAAAGAAAAAUGAAAAGGAAAACAAGGAAAUAAAGGAAAAAUAAUUAACCAAAAUAGAACCACCCCCACCCUGCAACUCACCCUAAACCCACAAUAGCCACCAUUUAUAAUUAUUCGUUUGAAAUGUGGUUGAUGUACCCAAAAUUAUAUCCUUAUGAACUAAAUAUGAAAUUUUCGAUGUUAGUUUUAGUUAAUUUGCUUAAGGUAAACUAUAAGAAUAUAAAUUGAUAUAUUAUAUGCAGAACUAGUUGACAUAGUUUAAAUUUGAAGCAUAUAACUACAGAAAAUGACCAAAACUGAUAUUAGGAUAAUCUUUUAAAAUAUUGUAAUGGUUAACGCAUUAGACUAACUUAAAAUAUUUUCGUCGUUUAAUUAUAAAUUAUGAUGGUAUGUAGUUAAUGUUUCAAUGAAAUAACAUGCAGUAAUUUUAGCUAAAGAUUACUUGAUGUGAAAAGCAAAAUAAUUAUAUUUAAUAUCUUAUUUUAGUUUAUGAAUUAAUAAUAAAAAGAAAUUUAUUGAUAAGUUUGCAUUUAUUAAUAGUUAAAUAGGUAUUAUUAUACAUCUAGUUCUUGUGAAGUCCACAUAUGAGGUAACUAGGAAGUAGACGCCAUGUAGGCUAUUGUCCUCUACCAUGUGGAGGUCUAUCUUGAUCCUACUCGUUUCGCUUGGUCCGUUUGAUUGUAUGAUUCUAAAUAUCUAUUCAAAAUCCUACACGAUCAAAAGAAGAUUCGGAAAAAUAAUCGUCGAAUAGGUAAUUCUUUUUUAAAGAAACAAUAUCACAAUUAUGACUACUCGACAAAUGACUGUACAACAUGUACUAUUGACCUAAUUUAACCUAAACUCAUCUAUAAAUACAUUCGCUUUGUUCAACGAAAAGAUACACAACAUCGAACUCUAGCCAAAGUUCCGUACAUUUGUCUCUUUCAUAGAAAUUUUUUUCCUCUAAUAUUUUUUGACAAUUGACUUGCUUGUCUGAAUGUAAAUGGUAACCAAAUGUUCGAGUAGGUAGGCAACACGCUCUUAGAGUGAGGCAACAAGGGGAUAUUAAAAACUUUUCAAUCGUUUAAUAUGUAUAUUCAAAGAAUUGUGAAUGCACAAAGUUUAUUUGAUGUUUUAUACUCACUCCAAUGUAAAAUGCUAUGGAGAGUUAUAUAUAUAGUUUUAAUAUGUAUAUUCAAAGAAUUGUGAAUGCACAAAGUUUAUUUGAUGUUUUAUACUCACUCCAAUGUAAAAUGCUAUGGAGAGUUUUGACAAGUGACUCUUUAUGGGCUGCAUUCAUAAGGCAGAAAUAUUUGACUGUAAAUUUUAACAUUAACUCUUACUCACCUGGACUUGGUUCAUCCCCAUGUUGGCAUAAUUUAAGUAAACAUUUUCCUUUCAUUCAUGACCACAGCAGGUGGAUGAUCGGCCAAGGAAAAAUCUCAUUUUGGUAUGCAAACUGGACAGGUUUUGGCUCUUUAUAUGACCAAGGCUGGAUUGCUAAUGAACCAAGGUUACAGUUGAAAGAUGUUUGUGCAAAGGAUGCUUGGAAUACUGAUCUUAUUCAUAAGCUGGGAGGUGACAAUUUGAUGGCUUACAUUCAUACUUUAGCUAUCUGCUUGAAGCAAGUGCCAGACAAGCUAAUUUGGUGUCCGACUCCAACAGGAGAGUUCUCUACUAAUAAGGCUUGGAAUCUUUUACGUGAUACCAAGGACAAACUUCAUCUCUUCAAAUUGAUUUGGAAUAAAUUGCUCCCGGUAAAAAUCUCAAUCUUCUUCUGGUGUGUUUGGUUUGGUAUAUUACCAGCGGAUAGUGUUAUUAGAAGUCGUGGUGUCCCAUUAGUAUCAAAACGUUACUGUUGUUCUCAUACAAAAGUGGAGGACGUUGAGCACCUAUUUCAUACUAGCGAAGCAGCGACUCAUGUUUGGACUCAUUUUGCCAACAUCUUUGGAGCUCGAAGUGUUUUUGCUAGUUCAUGGCGUGCCAUACUUAUUAAUUGGUUGUACCAAUUUGAUGGUUCUUCGCAAUUUCAUCAACUUGCUCUUUUGACCCCUGCGCUAAUUGCUUAGGAGCUUUGGUUUGCACACAAUGAGGCUAGAUUUAAUGAGGGUUUGGUCAAUGGACAUAAAAUUUGCUCCAAAGUGAAACACUGGUUGGUUGAAUUAAAUUCAUUACUGCAACCAUCACGUGCUACUCCCUCUCAUCUUCAUGCUACUCUCCAUUGUCUUGGUAUGGCUCCAACGCCUUUGACAACUAAGGCUCCUCUCCUUGUUCGUUGGUAUCGUCUCCCUUGUGAUAUUCUUAAACUUAACAUUGAUGGUGCUAGCUGUGGCAAUCGUAUUAGAGCUGGUUGUGGUGGGAUGCUUAGGGAUUGGAAAGGAAAAUUUGUUUUUGGCUUUUCCCACUCUCUUGGGGUAGCCACUAACCCAUGGCGGAAACAAUGGCUUUGAAAUUGGGUUUGUAUUAUUGCUAUCUUUUGGGGGUUUCAAAGGUAUGGGUUGAAACUGAUACCCAAAUGGUUUGUCAUUGGUUUAAUGGGAUGGGAAAUAUUCCUUGGUCUCUUCAGCAAGUUUGGGAUGACAUCGUUGAUCUGGCAGACCUCAUCGAUUUAAAUGUCACCCAUGUCUAUGGAGAGGCAAAUUCAGUUGCUGACUCUUUGGCUAAGUUGGGUACAGAUGGACGCUCUUAAUUUUCUUACUAUAUUAGAGACUUCCCCAAGCUACAAAAGGUUGUUUCGUAUUAGACUAUAGUGGUUGUCUUUCCUUUCGUAUUCAUUGAUUGUAUUGUCUUGAGUUUUAUCAUUAUUGCUAUUUGUAACCACGGUCUGCCUCCGCCAUAAGUGCAGGCUUAUUAAUAAAAGUUACAUUUGUUUAAAAAAAAAUUAACUAAUUAUUAAAGAAUAAGGAAAAAUAUAGAAUUUCUUCGCAAGAACAUUUUAGGUAUGUCAACGUCAUUUUAGAAGAGAUAUGAUUCAAAAAAGUGAUGAGAGGAUGAAUAUAAUAUUGAAAAGUAGAAAUGUGGUAGGUUAGUGUAAUUUACUAAGUGCGCGGGAUAUUUUUAAUUUUGCCUCUAUACUUUUUUCCAACUAUUUUUAUUCUUUUAAGUUGUACAUGGAAUAUUUUGUCAUUUACACUGAUUUAAUGGUAUUUCACACGAGACGUUACUAGAAACUAUUUGAGCCAGGAAAUGAAAAUUCGAGGAAUUUAAUGCCACACACAAAAAAAUAAAUAAAUAAAUAAAUAAAGGAAAAAUGACGUUGAAUUUUAAAGUACAAAGAAGGUAUAAGUUGGAAGCAACAACUACAAAUUAUCCAGAAAUAAAAGUUGAAUAACGUAUACAUUUUUACUCAUAGGAGAUAAUGGAGUGCAUUUCUUAGAAAGCAUAAUUUAUUUUUACAUAUUUCAUAAAAUUCAUAAUUCUUGCAUUGACCUAAAUUGAUAAUUUAGCGUGGUUCAUAAUUUGAAUCUAUCUUUUUUUUUCUUUUUUUUUUUUUUUGAAUGUUGGUGGGAGAACAUAAAUUUAUGGGGAAUACCAUGGUGAAUUUAUGAAUAUUAUUUCACAAUAACUUUAAGGGGUACAAGGCACACCAGCUAAUUUACUACAUAAACCGUAUCAGGAUCCCUUCUACAUUCUUCAUAUAUUUCAAUAUAAUAUGGACCAAAUUACGGUAGUUAGGUCAUCUCCAAUCCAUGACAUCAAUUGGUACAACUUUCAUACCAUUUUGUAAAGUUACUUUCAAUCCAUUAUAUCAAAUGCUACACCAAAUGAAUAAUGUUUCAUUUAUUUCCUUAUCUUUUAAUUGUCAAAAAUUAAUUUAUUUCAAGAAUUAUUUAAUAUAAAUUACAGUCUACUGAAAUACUAGAUUAAAAGUUACAUUUAAUAACUAAAAUAUUAAGUUUAUUAAUAAAUAUAAAAGGCUUCACACUUAAUCCGUCAAUUAAAAAAUUAUGACACUUAACACACAAAAUAAAAUUUUUACAUAUAAUAAAAAAACUACAUUAUAAUAAUAAUAAUCAAAUUAAAAUAAAUAAAAUUAAUGUUAAAUCAUUAAGGAUAAAAUUUGUUGUAGUACAAAAUGAAGAGGAAAAUGCGAAUUAUGAAAAACUCUAAAAUUCAUACUAAAUGAAUAGUGUUGCAGCAAAUUUAGUGCAACGUUGUUAAUUGUACCAAUUUGAUGUAAAGAUUUAAGAAUAUUGCUAUUUGUACGUAAUGAUAUUAUACAAUGAUUUACAUAUAGAUGAAGUGUCAAAAAGAGAUUGUGGAAGAUUCCCUUUUUUUUUUUUUUUAAAUUGAAGAAAUUUUGAACCAAUUAUAUCAACUACAUCAUAUAAUGUAAACCAUUUACAUAAAUUAUUAUGUACACAUAUAGCACAACCGAAAAUUUAAUAUUAGGUUUGAGUGAUUUUUGCGAGCUGUAACUGUAGUAUUCUAGACAAGACAAGUGACGAGGCUUUGCUGCACCAAGUCUUUGAAAGUGUUCAAUUAUUUAAUGGAUAAAUAUUUCCAGUUUACUUCGUAACUAAAUCAGCUAAUAAUUAUUUUUAUAAAAAAACCAGAAGAUUUCUAUUUUAAAUUCAUGAAGUGUGAACAUGUAAAGAUUGAAUCAUAUUCACACGCCUAUUUUUUUUUUAAAAAAGGUGCUUUUAUUUGUAUUUACUUUAUAUUUUUAGUACGAUGCAAUUCUUUUAGCUUAAUUAAUCCGUAAGCAUCAAUUAAAUUUAUCAAAAAUGUCAAAACUUUUUAAGGAGAAGACGUCUUCGAGAUGAGGAUUCAGGCUCCGUUAUUAUUUAAAAACUAAAAGUAAUAGAGAAGUCUAAUAUUAAAAAAAGAAUUUAAAAAGAUAAGGAAAAAACACAAUAAUCUUUCCAACGUGGCUGCCCUCACACCACCACCACCAUAAUCCCUCAUCGACCAUUAAUAUUGAUCGAAGAAAUUCACAAGUGCACGAUAUCGUAGAUAAAUAAUAUAAUAAGAAGUAAAAUAUCGUCUUGCAAAGAUAUGUACUUAAUCUAGUUUUGAUUAAUAUGUAUUCAAUUUGAUUAAUAUGAAUUCUAAUUGAAUAGCCAAGUUUUGAUGAUGAAUUUCUAUAACUAAUUAACUAACUAAUCUAAUUGAUGAGCAAUUAUUAAAGCUUUGUUAAACCGGUUUAUAUACGAUCAAAGAUUUUGAAUCCCCAUUUAUUAUUUCAUUUUAUUACAAAGAUCAUGACAAUAGUUAUUUAUUCUUGUUGAUUAAUGUUCCUAUUUCUUUCAUAAUUAAUCUCUUUCGAGUAGACUCAAAUAUAUUCUCAAAUUUGACCCUCAUAUAUCUAUAUGAAAGAUGCGAAUAUGAAAGAAUAUAUUAAAAAUAUUAGAACAACUAUCAAAAUCAUGCAAGGAUAGAAUUAUAUCUCUAUAUUUUAUCGGACCUCACAAGAUUUGUUAUUUGUUGCUAUCUUUCCUAUUAUUUCUCUUGGAUAUAAUAAAAACCACUCAUCAAUCCAAUUAAUGAUCAAUUAAUUGAAAAGCAUUGAAUAUAACAAUUUUUCAAGCUAAACAAAUACUUAACAUCAAAAUAUUGAAAUUAAAUUAAAAUUUCAUAAUAAACUAUUUAUUUAUAUCUUAGCAACUAAAAGUUUAGCCUAACAUUACAGUAUUACAAGAAAUCAUAAAGGAAUAAUCAAACAUCACCCGAAUUCGAAAUAUAUGAAGAAAGAAAAGAGAAGUCACGAAAUUUUGAAUUUCUUCAAUCUUGAUAUGUUGCCUCUUGACUUACCACAAAAGAAUGAUAUUUUUACCUCUCUUGAUUGCAAGAAUUUGUAUAGUGUAUGGUAUGAGAGGUGUCUUUAGUUAAUGGAUGAAGAUUUGUAUUUAAAAGCCAAAAUUAGGUCAAAAUCCGUGUUGAAAUUCGUUGAAUCAUCCAAGGAAAGAGUCUCGCCUAGCUAGACUACAGCCAUGUGAUCGCAAUACAUAAAUAUGUGCAAUCGCAUCGUUAAGCACUUCUAUCAUCUGCUUUUGCCAAAUAGAGCAUUGGGAUCAUAUCACCUUGUUUCAUGCAAUCGCGCCCCUAUAAGUUUAUUAACUUCUCAAUUUGAUCCCGAACUCUUUAUUCAAUCUUAAUCCUUUUUUAAUGUAAGUUUAGUCCUUCAUCUUUUAAUUUUAUUCAAUUUGAUCUCUAUAAUCUGUAGACGCCAUUCUUUGGUUCGAAAUAACUUUUAUACAUUAGUUAGUUCCCAAACUUUAUAAUUCUUCCUUUUUCAUCCUUCUUUGAUCGAUUUUCGCUUUUUUUUUUUUUUUAUCUGAAAUUGGAUGGUAUGACAACCACCUAUAAUGACCAACAAAAACAAGACACAUCACAAUUUGCCUGGACCGUAGACCCAAGUGAGCACUUUAUGUACAUGCCUGACCAUCGAAUCCCAUGAGCGCUCUACGUCCAUGCCCGACCGUUGACCCCAUAAGCGCUUUACGUCCAUGCUCAACCGCCGAUUCCUUUGAGCACUCUGCAUGCAUGCCCGACCAUCGACCUCCAUGAGUGCUUUACGUCUAUGCUAGGCUGUUGACUCCUAUGGGAUCAUCUAACACUAUGCAGCUGAUCAAACACUUAGCCAUAAAAUCGUCAGUAGAUUGGAUGAAGAUCACUUGACGAUGGUCACAGACGCAACCAAUUGUUAGAUAGUUGGAGGAUCCCCACUCAAAACGUGGGGUAGUAGAAGAGGCUAUGUGGGACAUGUAGCACCGUAACCGCCCAACAUUCCCAUGGUUUCAAUCAUCUAUAAAUACACCUAAUGGGAAACAUGUAUGGAAAGAGAAAAACUUUUGCUAUCUGAAUUCCAUUUUUGCUUUCCGUGAUACCGUAUAUUGAUUCUCACACCAAAGAUAAAAUGGGGGAGAAAGUCUCGCCCUCACUUUUCUAGUAACAUUGGUUCAUCGGGGUAGUAGAAACACCUUGUGCCGCCAGAAGGGCACAAAGGUAUUAUUUCACAACUACUUCAUUAUAUUUUUUUCAUCAAAUACAUUCCAAAUUUGAGUUUAUCUUGUAACAAUCGAUACUUAACUAAAUUAAAUAGUAAUCUCAUCAAAUUGACUCCCAAAUAUUCACUUUUAAUGGCUUGAAUAAGUGUAAAAAUGACACCUAUCAAACAUUACCAUCAAACAAAUGUUUAAAACCCAGCCAAGCCCAAGAACCUUUGAGGUCUAGCAAGCCUAAUUGACCGGAUUAGUUUUGCACCGAUAAAAAUUCUGAUAAACCGAUGGAUUAUUUAAAUUCAAUUCACAUUAAACUGGUCGAGGCUAAUAUAAGAUAGUAAAUCUCUGAUUUUAAAAAUUAGCGUUUAGCAAAAUUCAAACCCUUGAUCAUUGCUGAAGGAUAGAGCCAAUAUACCAAUAUAAAUCACCAUUUUAAGUAAAAUAACUAUUUGAUUUGCCCCAAAUUUGUGAAAUAGAAGAGUUCUAUUAAGAUUCUUGCUCGAAAAAAGAGAAAGUUGCCAUAUUUAUUACAAAUCUUUCUCCUGUUAAUGCCUUCACAUGUUGACAAGAAAUAGGAUUUAGUUGCUAGUUUGUUGAUUUCAUAUGUAAUUAAGAAAAGGAAAGCAAUUACCGAUAAAAAUAAAAUAAAAAAUAAAAGAAAAGAAAAGGAGAGUGAUUUUUCUAUAAAUACCGCCUCAAGGCUUCAAUUGUGACAUGUGCUUAGCCCUAAGAUGACGAGAAUUACAUGCACCAAAAUUAAGAGUUUAGAGGGAGAAAAUUGGUGGAGAGAGUGAGAAAAAGUAAGAAGAAAUUGCAUCGUACCGUGAGCAUUCCAGUUAAUUGACCGGAGAGGUUGUGAGAGAGAAAAAAACAUGUAUUCUUUUCAUGUGGUCGACGGUGAUUUGCCAAACCAUAUUAAUUGCUUUUCUCUCUUUAUGGCUUAUUUUGUUUUUUAUUUUCGCGAUGUUUGAUAGAACUAGUCGAAAGUAAACGUGCGUUGCACGUUGUUCUGAAUUGCUUUAUAAGUAUCGAAACAAUAAUAUUUGAAGAUGCCUUAAUUUGAGAGAUAGUUGUAAAAAAAUGAAGAUGUGAAAUGAAUUUUUUAUUUAAUGAGAAUUUCUUUGGGCACUAUAUUUUUUAUAUGAUUAGGGAUAUCCGACUUAACCAAAACCUUUGUAGUUGCCAUAGAAAUUCUUCUCAAAAGUGCAAUGGAUAACUAUCCAUGUGAGAAUACUUGUUGUCGAAGAUAUACUCCGACGUGAGGUAUUGUCUGUCCUUGGGCAUUGUUGAUUGUCAUUGCAAAAUAGAGACGUACAUUAAACUAUUUCCGUAUAAAUUUGAAUGGAUAUCUUUCAUCAUUUGCAGGACUUAAUUGUAUAUGCGGAAUGAAUACGUGUUUGCUAGAGUAUUGUCUAGUAGUUAUCUUUGCAUGUAUAAUAUGAAUACUGAAUUGACGACAAACCAUCUUACUCCCAUUGCAGAGACCAUUUGAAGGAUUUGGGUUUCUCAAAAGCAUUAUUGGACAAUUUAUUCUCAACACUAAUCGAUGAGGUGGAACUAUGUUUGGAAGUAAUAUGAUGAGAAACUCUAGUUGAUAGUAAUUAUUUGUGUCAUCUACUGCUACAUCAUAACUAAGGAACUCUUUAGUUUCACUUAGGGAAAGAUCAAUAACUUUUUCAUUUAUGAGAUCAACGUUUUCAUUUGUAGUGGAUAGAAUUGCUCUUUGUGUUAUAUAUUCCGAUGAUUCUACAUUAUUGGUAGUUCUAAGAAGACAUAGUUGAUUAAAUUGAGCUCUGUGGAGUUGUUGUUAGAAGAAAGUACUAUGUCUUUUGGAAGUGAGAUGAAGUCUUCUCCUGCAGUUUGUUCUAUUCCAUUGCCGACUUUGAUCAAGUAUUUCGUGAAUUGAUGAUCAUUUUGUGCUCUCAUAUUAUGUGUCAAAUGUAGUUUAUGCAUUUUUUCCCAAAGAUACGAUCAUACCAUACUUUCGUUAACUAUUUGUUGUCCUGUUGCUCAUGGGACAACUGGAAGAGCCUGGUGAAAAUAUCUCCCAAAUACCAUUGCUUUAUUCCCAAAUGGUUCAAAAUUGUUCAUGAUAUCUUGAAAAGUCUGUCAACUGCCUCAAUUGUUGCUCUCUUGCCAUUGGAGCUUCAUCCCAUAUAAUGAGUGCUGCUUGUCGAAUAAGUUUGGCUCGACCGCUUUGCUUUGAUUUAUGACAUAUCGAUGAUUCAUUUGUUUGCAACAGAAUGUUGAAUCUCGAAUGAGCUAUUCACCCUCCAGGCAUUAUUGAAGCAGCCACUCUAGAAGUUGCAAUUGCAAGUGCUAUACCCAGCAAUCUUAUUUCAGCAAGUAACGCACGAUAUAUAAUUGUUUUACUAGUUCCUUCUAGUCCAUCAACAAAGAAAACCCCACAUUUUUUUAUUGUUUACUUUAUCAAAUAUGAGAUCAUAGGCUUGUCUUUGAUCAUGAUUUAGAUAAUGUGAUGCUUGUGUUUGGUAUUUCAAUUGAUAUUUCAUCUAAUAUGUCCUUUGUACUGAGAGAAUGUGUAUCCGUGGAGACAUUUCUUAGUUGAAGCAAGUCAUAUGCAUUGAUGUUUUCCCCUAUGGACUGAAGGAAUUAUUGAAUAUCAUGAAGUGUAUACUGAAGUUGUAAUUGUAAAAAAUAUUGAUCUUGUUUUCUGAAAUCUUCAAGCAUAUAUUCAAAGUAAAGAUCCCAUAAAUUUCUAAAAUUAUUAGGUUCACAAUAAAUCAACAAUGUAGUAAAGAAUCUUCUAAAUGCUCGAGGCAUGUGAAAGGCGACUGCUUCAUCUAAGCAUUCAAUGAUACUUCGAUCGGACUCAAGAAGACCUCUUUUUUGGUUUGUUUCUUUAAAAGUCCAAAAUUGACUCCCAUUAACAUUCAUGAGGUCCUCAAAAGACUUAGGUCCCCUUACACGAUUUAGUAAUAAACAAAGAUAAUAUCAUUUCUCUUCAGUUGGAUUUGCUUCUGCAAUGCAUGAUAUCACUUUUUCCUUUUUCCUCUUUGUCCAUACAUGGGCCUGCCUAUUCCAUACGUAGUGUUUUGAAAAUUCUCGAUAUAAGAUCUCAUUGCAUCUUCGUUGUUGUUACACAUUUUGAAAUAUUCAGUCAACAUUGUCCUUGAUAUAUGAUCGAAUUGGAUAACCCUAUUCAGAUCUUGGGUUUCCCAAUAUGAUACCGUUUGUUGAUUAGGGAGGUGAAGUUGUAAGUUGAUGAUAGCAGGUGACAUUUCAUUCAAUUGGAAUUCAUAAAUUCUCCAUAAAGAUUCUUGUGCAGAUACCCAAUGUGAAUCUUGGAAUUCUCGUAUUUCAUUUAUUAUCCUAUUUUCAUCAUCAUGAGAUAUAUAGAUAGCUGCUCUGUCAUGCCCUUUUUAGAUAUAUAAGUAUUUAACAACUUUCAAACCGGAACAAAUCUCUACAUUAAUAUGGCAAUUAUAUCAUAGAAGCAUAUGGGUACAUGAACUGAAGUUUUUAUUUUUUCUAAUUAUGUGGAUUUACGUGAGAUAUUUGGUUAUGAAAAUGAAAAAAUAAUGCUGCUGUAUAUCACAUUUGUAAUUGCACAUAUAUUCAAUGUAGGUAAAUGUAUUCAAUAUAUGAUUAUGAUUAUGUGUGCAUGCAUGCAUUUGUGUUAAUGUUUCAGUAUAUUUUCUGGAUAAGAAAUGGAUUACAUGAACUUAAAUAAUUUAUUAUAGCUCUGAAAUAUAUAAAGUGUAUAUGAACUUGAAGACUUGAUGUGAAAUUUAAUAUAUCUAUAAAUUAAUUAAUUAAUUAAUGUUUAUUAUUAUACAUAUAAUUGAAUUGUUGUACUUCUAUAGUAAUUGAAUAGCCUCAAGUUAUACACCAUUUUGUCUAAAUAAUUUUUCCAAGAUCAAAUCUAUUUAUUGAAUGUAUAAUUCUGUGCAUGCAUUUAGGUAAAUGUAGUCAUCAUAUAAUUAUCAUUGUACGUGUGCAUGCAUGCAUUUCCGUAAAUUCUCAGGCAUCAUUUUACUCUGGUUUUUUUAUUUUAUUGAUUCAUGCCCAGAAGUUGUAAUAUAAAUCCAGAGUAUAGAAGUUUAGAGAAAGAGGAUUUACUUAUUCUAAAUAGCUUUUCGAAAUGUUGAGAGAGUGAGCUGGUUUUCCUCAGAAUUCUCAUUUUGGAUGGAUUUUAUGGGAAUUGCUUAUUUCAAUAAUAAGUGGAUCAAUUUUGGUUUCACAAGAAGACAACACCAUUAAUGUACAAAAAUUUAUUCCUCAAGUUUAAGAUUAAGAUUAAUCAUUAAUGUGAGGUCUAAAUUAAUUCUCCAAACUACCGUGCAUUUAUUUUAUUUUGUUUUCGAGAAUUAUUCUAUUAAUCUAUGGUUUAAAGUCAUUCUUGAAGUUCAUGAUUACAUUAUUUUGUCUAAGUUAAUUUUCCAAGAUUAUGUGUAUAUAUAUAGCAUGCGUGUCCAGUUUCUUUUGUAAUAAUAAUUGUGAAGAUGAAUAUUAAUUAAAAUGCUUAUCACUUUCAAGAUUAGUCUCUAAUGUGAGAUCUAAAAUAAAUCUCCAAAGUCUCGUUCAUUUAUUUUACUUUUUCCCCACAAUUUUAACGGUACAGCAAUUUUUUUUUUUUUUAAAUAUAACAUAAACUUUCUCAUAUUAAAUUAUAAACAAUAAAAUAAUAGGUGUGUUUUGUGUCGAUGAUUCGAACAAAAAUAAUAAUAUGUGUCUCUUAAAUGAUAAGAUAACAGGUAUGAUUUGAGACGAUGUUUCGAACAAAAAAUACUAAUAUGUGUUUCUCUAAUCUAAAUUAAUAUUCAAUCUUCUAUUUUUAGUUUCUUGCUCGGAUGGCUUCCUUCAUUUAUCUUCUUUGCAUCCACCUUGUAAACUUCUUCGACAAUCAAUUUCUUCCAUGUUCUUUCUUCUCUUUUCUUCACAUCCAUCUUCACCAAGAAUUUGAACUCUAUCUUCCGACGAAAUUAGUUUUUUGUAAUAUUUACACAAUUCCUUUUUGUUGAUCUGAGAAGAAAAUACCAAUAUAUGUUUUUACAAAGAUGGGUUAGUCGCCUAAUUUUAGUUAGAAGCAAUAUAAUAUGUUGAAAACACAAAAUCUAAAUUAUAUUUUUACCUUUAAAAGAGCCUCAGCAUAUUCAAUCACAGUACUAACUAUGAAAGAUUCGGCGGCAUCAAAGAUUGUGAUGUAAACUUCUUGAUUACCAUCUGAAACUAUUAUCGUCAACAAAUACUUUCUAGUAAAUGCUAUGUCCUUAAUUUCACAUAUUGUACAUGUGACAGUUUUUUUAUCUUCCUAUGGGUAAACCAUUGCACCACACCCAUUACAUGUUUCAUACCAUGGAUUGUUCUUGUUUCGAACCUUUAGAAUCUUGCCUAUAAAAGCACAAUACAAUUUAGUCACACUAUUUGUAAUAAUAUCAUCUAAUUUUACGAUACCAACAUCCAUCAUCCUCUUUGUAGAUCCCAAUAGUUUGUACAAUCCUCCACCACAUAGCAGUUUUUUAGUGUUGUGUAAAAAAAAGGACAAAAUAAAUAAUCUUUCAGCUAUAUGACAGACUUAGUAGUAAUGUAAAUAUAAUCAUCAUGACUAAAUAAACCAUGCUCACCUAUAUUUAAUAGCAUUAGUUUCUUCAAGUUGUGGAUUGAUCUCAAUGAUACUAAUAUUUGAAGUGGAGAUGUUUAGUUCAUCUGUUUGAUAUAUGUUAGUUAGAACACAGCAUAUAAAAUAAUUACAAAGUAUCACCUUCACAGUAACUUGCUUUAGAUUGUUGAUUUUAGCAUAUGACUCUUUUUAAUAUGAUAAUAAAAUAAUUACAAAGUAUCACCUUCACAGUAACUUGCUUUAGAUUGUUGAUUUUAGCAUACGGCUCUUUUUAAUAUUUACAAAGUAUCACCUUCACAGUAACUUGCUUUAGAUUGUUGAUUUUAGCAUACGGCUCUUUUUAAUAUGAUAAUAAAAUAAUUACAAAGUAUCACCUUCACAGUAACUUGCUUUCACAUUCAAAGCUGUAAUAAAUAACAUUUCAUAAACAUUUUCUUCCAUAAACUUUCCUUGGUUGUCAGCCAAAUCUCCCCACAAAUAUAAUUUCAUUGUAUUACACCAGUACUAAGAACAAAACUGUUGAGUAAAUAAUAUUACAAAGUUUAUCUUCUUUUUAUUUGAUUAAAAAAAUUGUUUGAUUUUAUGGAUGAUGUUUACCCACUGUCUAGGAGAAUCACUUCCCAUUUCUUCAUUGUUCUUUCACUUGGCCUCUUAACGUUGAUGAUGAAUGCAGGUUUUACUUUGACUACCAAUCCUAUAAUAUCUGGAAACAAAAAGGAAAAAAAAUUCAGAAAGAAUAUAAUUACAAUCAUGAUAUCUCUGCUAGCAAAAUUUGGUACUUCAUUGAAUUGAAGAAAAAAAGUUUGAUAUCUUAUAGCAUAUGCGUUGUUGAAUCUCUUCUACUUUCGUUGUAGUUGUGAAAGACAAUUCGAUUUCAUCAUUCACAUUUCGGUACUUCCCAUUGACAGGUCUUACGUUUCCAUUUCAUCUAAUGUAAGACUUCCCCUUUUCAAUUAUAGCAUUGAGUUUUUGAACUGCAUCAUUGAAUAACAUGGCUUGAAUUUUUUAUCACUAUAGAGAAAUCACUAGUUACUUCUAAUAUACAUGAUUGAAUAAACUCAAACAUGAAUAUACCGCAUAAUCAUUACUCCAUUACCAUCAAAACUAACUUCAAAUAAUCUAGCGUAGCAUAAAUAUUCGGUACAUAUCAAGAGCAAAUAUUUAUUCACUACAAUCUAAGAUGUCAGAUUGGUACCAGAACCAAAGUCAUCAAAUUAGUAAAAUAAAAGUUUUUUUUUCCCUUUUUUUCCUUCCUCUGAUCUCCGCAUCAUCUGAAAUUCUCACUAUCAAUUUUACUAUACAAAUAUAAAAGUAAAAAACAUAAGAUCCUAUAAGAUAAAUUAAAGUAUUCAUGAUAAAGCUAAAGAACAUAAUAUCCUAUAAGAUAAAUUAAAGUAUUCAUGAUAAAGCUAAAGAACAUAAUAUCCUAGAAGAUAAAUUAAAGUAUUCAUGAUAAAGCUAAAGACUUUUAGAAACACGUAAAGAUAUGCAGGAAAUGAAAUAUUUAUGCCAUGUCAGUAUUUGAAUCUCGAAGAUGAAUUCAGAAUUAUUAAAUAUAAGGGUCAUCGUAGUAGAUAUAUCACCUCCUUGUCAAUUAGGAUGAUCUUCAAAAGAUCAAAUUUUCCAAUAUUGUUGGAAUAAGAUUCGACUAAACCCUUUCAAACUACCGUCACUUUAAUGGACCAUUCAUUUUCAUACACCAAUAAAUGUCUUAUAGCCUUUGAUUCCAUGAUGGGGGAGAGCAAAAUAUUUGAUGAUUUGAUUGAAAUAUAGCAACAACCAAUUUGUGAAAAUAAUUUUAAUAGUUGAGAGAUUAGUUUAUUUAUGUCUAAUACUCAUGAUAACAAUCAAAUUCAUUCAUGAAUAUGAAAUCUAAUUAAUUUCAAAUGAUGCUGCUAUGACUGGCACAUAUUAUACAAUGUAUGAUUAUCACUUUAUGUGUGCAUGCAUGCAUUUAGGUAAAUGUAUUCAACAUAUAAUUACCACUAUAUGUGUCCAUGCACGCAUUUACGUAGACGCUCUAGUAAGAAUUGGAUAUACAAUGUAUAAUUAUCACUUUAUCUUUCAAUUUCUAAAUCUUUAACUGAGUGUCAUAGGACUCCUUGGCUUCUGAAAUCAUCAACCUAGCAACCUUGAAUUUAUCCUUGACCUCCUUUUCAAAUAGCCUCAACACGUCAUCAUAAUUAUUAUACAUGCAUGUAAAUAAAUAAUUGAAUCGUAAUAGGGCAUGUAAGUAGUAGUGCUAGAAUUGUCUAAAAAAUAAUUCUCCCUUCAUGUGAUAUUUAGUAUAUUAUAGAUUUUUGUCCCCAACAACUUGCAUAAUAGUUAUGUAGGGAAUCAUCAAUUUUGCUAAAUCAAUUAUAUGAUUUACUUUUGUUUCAGUUGAGAAGAAAACCGGGAAAUUUUUCUUUCAGGUGAAAAGAAAAAUCAAAUAGAAAAUAUUUCGUUUACGUAGAAGAAAUAAAUGGGGAUAAUUUCUUACCGUACUUGUUGGUCCCAAUUGAUCUUUCAACAAUUAAUUUUAACCACAAAUUUCAUAAGAUCCACAAUUUUUUCAACCACAUUUCAUCAAUUUUUAUCAACAUCUACUAAAAUACACCAAACAAGGGCUUAGUUCGUUCGUAAUAUUAUUGUCCAAUGAGAAAAAGUUCUUCAACAAUUUGACGUGUAAAUCGACAUUGAAUACAUGUAAUACAACCGACAGCACAUUAUAAGUAUGUUACAUUGUCGAUAUAAAAAUCAUCAACCAAGUUAAAAUUGUAUGUUAUUUCGGUAAUAAGUACCAAAACAAGGCAAGGUGUUCGCAGAGCAUAGAAUUUAGUUAAAUGGAACAUCAAAUCACCUACAUUUUUCUUGCCCAAAAGGAAACAAUGCGCUUGUAAAUAAUUUACAGACCUUUCACAAUUAACCAUAUAAGCUAUGCGUUGACUAUUUUAGCUUUACACAUUCUCUUUCUUUCCGGUCUAUUCUUGCUUUCAAAAGUAAAACGUAAUAUCUGCGAGAAAUACAAAAUUGCAGAUUUAUAGGGUAAAAAUCAAAAGAAUGUCUCUUAACUCCCACUAGACGGCCUACUGCAGCAUAUACUCGCUCGCUGAUGCACUGCAACUUGUAUAGGACAAGUUCAAAUCCGAUCCCUACAGAAGAUAGCUUUUAGAAGCCCAAUGCUUAAACUCACGCGAUGAACUCACCAUUGAAGAUGCAAAGAGAUAAGAAGAACAUCACUUUCGCUUAUUACUCAAGGUAAGUUACUGGGUUUAAAACAAAUUCACAACGAGUGAAGAUGAAGCUGAAUCCAUGAGUAGUAGUAGUAGUACAAUAUGAGAAGUUUCAUACUUCUUGACAUUUUAUUUCAAGCUCCACUGGUACAUUUUUUAGCACGGGACACGUAUCCGAAUUGAUAUCAUAUAAAAUCCUCAAAAGCUUAAAAUUAUUGGGCAGAUUAGCUCUUUCACAACUCAUAAUGUCUCAAAUUUGUAUGUUUACGAGAAUUGAUAAAUACCCUUUGAUGUAUCAGUGUUGGUUAUUCACCGUCUGUUUCUAUGGCAUGUAACAAUCAAAUAAUUAUAAUAACUAUUGAGUCUUUUUCACAAAACAAGGGAUAGUUAAAGAUUGGAGAACUUUUCUAUCAUUGUCCAUAAAUUAAGGAUAUCAAACCAAUUAUAUGCUCCUAUAAAACAAAACAAAACCAAAAAAAAAAAAAAGAGAGUAAGUAAUGUUCUCUUCUCUUUACACUAAUAGCAGUACAGGACUCGUGAUUGUCUUCCUGAUCAUUCGGCAUCAAGAUGAUGGAAUUCAAUUAUAGCACCGGAGUUUACCAACCCCAGGAUAAAUUAAAUAAGUUGUUAGAAUUCCAACAAGAGAUAGGAGUUGCAUCAACUUUGGAAGAAAUUAUGUACAAUCGAGAUAACUAUGCAACGUGUGCAUGCCACCACGAGUGAUGCUUAAUGAAAAGCUGCAGGAGUACAAUUUGAAUUUAGAUGGCCUACAAAGAAACAGCUGCAGGGCUUCCAUCCAAACAAGCAAAUUUAGUCUUGAGGGUUUUAAGAUACAAGCAUUAUUUUGCAACCACCUAUUUAUGUUUAAAUAAAUAGUGUAUUUGACAAUUACUCUCCCUGUCCCAUGCUAUUCUUCUAGAUCACUAUUUCAAUUUUUCCUAAAAGUUAUUUUGGUUACUAAAUUGAGAUUCUAGAUUCUGAUUAUACACCUUGUCAUGUUAUAGUGGGAUAAGGCUUAACUGAAGAUAAGAAAUAAACUACCCACUGCAAUAUUAAAUGGAAGUUCAACUUGGGGCAGACUUGAAUCGUCAAAAUUGACUUCUCUUCAGAAUUUGACCACUUCUACGCUCAUAUACUUAGACCCACUCAUACACAAGCUAAGGUUAAUAGGGGUAAAAGAUUUCAUGCAAUCAGAUUUCAUAACUUUUGACAGCACAAGAGGGCCAAUAAAUAAUUUAAUAAGCAUAAUUCUAAGACCACAUAUGUAUAGUGAUAAAAAAUUACUUAAAAGCUAUUUAUUAUACUUAAAAGCUAAACCUGACUAGUCAGAAAUAUUGAGUAAAUUUGUAAUAGUUCAACCUACGAGUUUGUAUAGGUCAUUUAACUCUUUUCUCUUGACAUAUUUGCCCUCAACCUUAAGUUUGAAGAACUUCUAGAAGCAUGGUGUCUUCAUCCUAUCAAACUUUUUAGCUCCGUAAUCGGCAAUCUGAAGCAAGUAAAUGAUUUUCAUCUAUUUGACCUUUGCAAUAAUAUAUGCGACUAUUUGUUAAAAGAGGUCAUUACCUAAUUUUGGAACCGCCGAAGAGCAAAUUUGAUAGAUAAUAUUAAAUAGUAUAGCAUACCAAUUUAUUUUUUUAUUUUUUAUUUUUAUUUUCAAUAUUAAUAAUUACUCUACUGAAUAGGCGAAUACGGUCAUUGCUUCCAAACAAUUCAUAAUUCUUCACCCAUUUAUAUGGAGGAAAGAUCGAAUCAUAAAAUCAUGAUUUUAUAACCAUGGCCAAAAAGUGAUCUACUAUUGUAACUUGAGGGGAUGAUACUUACAACCCUAAUUCUUAGCUAGAUUUAGGAUGUAAAGUGGGACGAGCAAAGCUAGAUUUUUCACGUGUGAGUCACUCGUCGGCUCUAACAAGAGCCGGGAAACAAAACAUUAAAACUGUGCAAGCAUUAACAUUCCUAGCUAGAUUCCAGUUCUCUAUAGGAUGAAGGAUGGGCCCUUUUUCGCUUCUUCAUGCUUUUCAUAAUUAUCUAUGUAUUGAACUUUAAUGAUUUAUAAUUAUAGCAUUUAUUAAAUGUAUAUAACUAUUUGUGAUAUAACAUGAUUUCUUUUAUUGCAAAUAGAAAUCACCACAAACUCCAAAAGCUCAAUUAAUUAAAGAUCUAGUACAUGAAUAUUUUUUUUGCUUUUUGUUAGAUUAACUACUAUUUAUACCUUGAACUGCACAAAUCUUUUUCACUAGAUUUAAUUUGACUGAUCUCUAUAUGGCAGCCUUAAAAUGAACAAGUUGAUUCAUACCACGGCUUAUUUCGCCAUGCUCUUGAGAUUUUUUUUUUUAUUUAUCACUUAAAAUCAUUGAAAAGCACAAAAAUUACAAAAAAUCUACCCUAUACAAGCUCAAAUAACAUGUGGUCGCACUUCUUGAUUGCGCCAAUCAACUGUGGUAGAAGCACCAUCCCCUAUCCCUGAAAAUAUGCAUCGUACAACUUAUUAUUCCUUUGAGUAUCGUAGCUCGUUAUUUCACCAUCAAUAAUCUUCAGUCCAGUCAUGAUGGCAAAACCCAAGUAUAGAGAAAUUAAUGACCUUGCCUUCGAGGUCGAAGUAGAGUGCAUCGCCAUUGACUUACCUAAGCAGUUGACAUAGUAAUGCAUCAAUGAUAUGUCUAGAAUACUUCACCUUUCUCAACUGAUACAGGGGCCACAUGAAGGACUUGCGCAGUAUAUCUCCAUGCUGGGUUAUCGAGCAACUCCAAUAUAGUAAUAAAACUGUCAAAAAUACUGUUUCAAGUACAUUUACCUGCCAUUUGUCUCAACUUAGCAUCGAGAUGGUACUCCAUCCUAAAAAAAUUCAAAUGUUAGAACAUUUUGAUAGAAAUAAUGGAAUAAAGCAUAAUUUUAGAAAUUUAAACGAACUGAAUUUUAACUAUUGUAAUCAAGAAAUAGAUUCAUUUUACAUCGAUACUAAUAAAAAAAGAAAUGAUUUAAUAAAUUAAAGGGGAAAAAAUAAGAAUUACAGAUAAAAAUAAAAAAAUUAAGUGAAUUAAAUAUACAAAAAAUUUAAAAUUAAAGAAAUAAAUAACAAAAAUAAUAAAAAUUAAAGAUCUAAUAUUAAAAAGUUGAAUGGAAAAAAAAAUUAAAUUAUGACAAAUAGAAAACAAUUAAGAAAUUUUUUUAAAAAAGAAGAAAAUAAUAAUAAAUUACAUUAAAUAAAAAUUAAAGACCAACAUAGAAAAGGAAAAAUAAAUUAAACAAAUUUUUAAAAUAUAAAAAUUAAAGCAUGAGUAUUAAAAAAAUCAAAAUGAAAAAAAAAUUAUAUAAAGAAGAAAAAAAUUAAGAAAUUUAAAAAUUAUUACAAAAAAAUUAAAUGAAAGGAAAUUAUAAAAUUAUAUAAAGGAUAUAAAUAUUAUUUAUUUAAAAUCGAAAAAUUAAACUUUAUCAUAAAGAAAAGAAUUAAAAAAUAUUCAAUUGAAAAAUAUUUAUUUAUAAUAUGAAGCAAACAAUUAAGAAAUUUUAAAACUAUUACCAAAAAUGUAAUAAUAAAACAAAAAAAAUAGACAAAAAGAAAUUAUAAAAAUUAAAUAAAGAAUAUGAAUAUUAUUUAAAAUUAAAUUAUCAUAAAGACAAAAAUACUAAUAAACAAUAAAAAAUCAAGAAAAAAAUAAAAAUUGGCCCAAAAAAAUUGGGUUUGCCCAAUUGAAUAUUAAACAAUCGGGUUCGACGAUUGUUAACAGUCGCUUUUUCCAUUUUUAGCCAAAAAUGAGGGGAUCACUGCCCCCCAAAAAAUCACUUAAAUCUAGUCUACACUCAAGCAUCUAUCUAAAUACUAAACAAUAAACUAAAUAGAUGUUAAAUUUAAUCUUUACUAUAUAUGAAAAAUCAAUUUCAUAAUCACAAAACUACCAUUGUUGAAGAUAACUUUGCUCAAUGACUGGGUUGUGUGGUAGCCGAAGCUGGGUUGACUGUGAGGAUGGUGUGUUCAACUGGAUCCCAAUUUAGUUUUUUCUUUUCCCUCCCUACUGUUUGCACAAGAUGAAGUGAGGGUAUUUUUUUGUUUUUGAUCUUUCACCUCAUAAUUUAACUUUUUACUCUUUUUUUAAUGGUCAAAGGCUUUAUUAGAAAUAUGCCUAGGUCAACCAGACAUUUCCAUGUAUUUCCUCGAUUAUAGUAUCACCACAAUAAAUGUUUGGUACACCACAAAAUUUCUUAUCUAUUUAAAUAAUUUUUGAGUAAAGUGACAUAAAUAUCAUAUAUUAUUAGCUUAUAUAUUCAUUCAUUCUGGUUAGGAGUAUGACUCAAAUAGGAGUCUUUUGAAAAGGCAUAUUCGAUUUGGACUAGGAGAAUAUUAACUUAGGGCUUAAUGAAACAAAAUCCUGUUGAAAUUGGGUCUCCUAAUAGUAAUGUAUUUUCUUGUCUUUUACGACUUUUCUAGGAUUGGCCUAUAAAUACGAGGCUCCUUUGGUCAAUUUCUAGAGAGUAACAUAGAAGCAGUAUGCUAUUCUAUCUUGUAUUCUCCAUACUAUUAAAUUAAUAAACAUCGUUCCUCUGUGUUUACCCCUUGUUUUCUUUUUUUACAAAUUCAAUCUUAUGUUUUCGUGGUACGAUCUAGUAUACUUCAAUAUUGUCAUUAAAUCUCGUUCUUUAAAAUUCGAUUUGGAAUCAAUGUGUGUUAUUGGAGCUUUCGCGCCCAAUAGGUGGCAUCAAAGCGAGGUUGUUGAUUUUCUGUGGAUUGGUUGAGAUUCUUUCAAGAUGGCUGGGUUGAAGUAUGAUGUUCCGUAGAUAGAUCGCAAUACAAGGUUCUCGUUGUGGCAAGUAAAGAUGAGGACUAUUUUGACAUAGUUGGAUUUGGAUGAUGCGUUGCUGGGUAUUGAGAGGAUGCCGGCUGGUUGGACAACGGAGGAGAAACAAUGAAAGGAUCGAAAGGCUAUUUCAUUGAUUCAUCUUCAUCUGUCCAACAAUAUUCUGCAUGAUGUCUUGAAGGAGAAAACAGCGGCUGCUUUGUGGUUGAAAUUGGAACAGUUGUGUAUGAUUAAGAGUCUUAUAAGUAAACUAGCUCUCAAUCAAAAGCUGCAUUCACAUCGCAUGGCAGAAGAAGGGUCGUUGGAAGACCAUGUUGCCAUGUUCAAGGAAAUAGUUGCAGAUCUGGAGACGUUGGAGGUUAAGUACGAUGAAGAGGAUCUUGCCUUGAUCCUGUUGUGUUCGCUGCCUGGAUCUUACGCGUCAUUUCGGGAUAUUAUCAUAUAUAGUCGAGAUACUUUAACUAUAGAAGAUGUCUAUGAUGCUUGGCACUCAAAGGAGAAAAUGAAGUAUUUGGUUGAAACUACAUCAAGGGAUGGGGAAGCUAUUGUAUCUUAAGGUGGUCGACAAAGAUGCAGAUCGAGAGUUAGAUUUAACAAUGUGACCUACUACUACUGCAAAAGGAAGGGACAUAGUCGGAAGGAUUGCGAUAUGUUGCAGGCUAAAGGUGAUUUAACUGUAAAUCGUGGGGUGCAACCUUUGAAUUCAGAUGAAACCAAUGUAGUUGAGAAUUGAUCAGGUAAUGAAGAGGUGAUGUUGAUCGUGGUAUCUGAUGUGGAGUCUAGGCCUAACGAGGAAUGGAUUCUUGAUUCAGCAUGUUCGCACCAUAUGUGUUCCGAUAGGAAUUUAUUUCAAAAACAUGAAAAACAUGAGGUUGUUCAGCAAUGUGGGGUUGUAAUGGGAAACAACCAAUUUUGUCGUAUUGCUUGGAUCAGUGAAGUCAGAUUGAAGCUGCAGGUUGGAACAUUUAGAACAAUUGAUCAAGUUCCACAUGUUCCUGACCUGAAAAGGAAUCUCAUUUCGUUAAGUACCUUGGAUGCAAAAGGGUAUAAAUUCUCUGGAAGAGGUGGAGUCUUGAAGGUCCGAAAGGGAAUCCGAGUUGUACUAGAGGGAUGAAAAAAAAUCCCAAUUGUACAUUUUGUAGGGGAGUACAGAACCAGUUAAGAGGAGACAUUUGGACAAGUUUAGUACCGUGGUGAAAGUUCAGUUUUGGUACAGUACUUCUUGUGUUAGGCCCUGAGUCGAUUCAGAAUAUUGCUAGGGAGAGCGUUGGUGAUUCCGCUUUGCCACCAAUUUCAGCAAAUAUACUGUGUUCAGUUACUGGGGUAGGACUCAUCAAGCAUAGGUAUUGUGGUGUUAGUAAUGUCUGGGAUGCUUCUAGAGACGUUGAAGGCGACAGUUCCAGCAAGGGCCCUUUUAAUCAAGUAUCUGGUUUGGUUCUUGCUACAGGGCAUGGUUCGGCCCUUUGUGAUCAGCAUUAAUUCCUUGGUGGAAUUGGAAACCCUAGGGAUUGGGUUCGAGUGUCGAUUGUGGACGCCAGGCAGAGGAUGAGUGUUUAGUUUAUAUGGAGUGGUUACUGUGUUGAGGAGAUUCGGCCAGUUAAUUUCGAUGCAGAUGAAUUUGAAAUCUAGAAGUUUCGUUCGUAGCACCGAAAUUUAAGUCAAGAUGGAGAUUGUUAGGAGUAUGACUCAAAUAGUAGUCUUUUGAAGAGGCGUAUUUGACUUGGACUAGGAAAAUAUUAACCUAGGGUUUAAGGAAACUAAGUUGAAUAAGGAAACAAAAUCCUAUUGAAAUUGGGUCUCCUAAUUAUAAUAUAUUUUCUUGUCUUUUAGGACUCUUCUAAAGUUGGCCUAUAAAUACGAGGCUCCUCUGGUUAGUUUGUAGAGAGUAACAUAGAAGCAGUAUUGUUAGUCCGUCUUGUAUUCUCCAUACUGUUGAAUUAAUAAACAUUGUUCCUCUACGUUUAACUUUUGUGUUCUUUCUUUAUAAAUUCAAUCUUGUGUUUUCGUGGUGUGAUAUAGUAUACUUAAAUAUUGUCAUUAAAUCUCAUUCUUUAUAAUUCGAUUUGGAAUCAACGUGUGUUAUUGGAGCUUCCGCGUCCAACAAUUCUCAGGUUUGCUUUGAUGCAACAACAGGAACAAGUGAUGUUGAUAAAUGAAUUGAAGGAGAAAAGGAUACAUUUGUUCCAUAGAAAUAAAAGGAGUACAGGCACAUUUUUAUAUACAAGAAAUUACAUAACUAAUUUACAUGAAAAUAUUUAACUGAACAAACUCCGUUAGUGAUAUCUAUUUUUUUGUUCGGAUUUGAUUCACAUAUUUCAAUAAGAAGUAACCUUUUUUUAUUAAAUGAGCAAGUAGUAACUUAGAAUAAAAUUUGGUGGGCAAUUAUUAAUUAACUCUAAAACAUACAUAAUUCUAAAAUACGUAAAGAAACAAUCGAUAAUUCUAAAAUACGUAAGGGAACAAUCGAUAGAGAAUAUGAACUUGCAUGGUGAAAAACCUAAAAGAAAAACCGGAAUUGGUAUUGGCUUUUGUGAAUUCAGAGGGCUUUUCUCUUCUUAAAUUGUGAGAGAGAGGGGAGAGAAUAUAAGAAACGUAAGCUAAAAGUGAGUCAACUUUUUGGAAAGCUUAGAAUGCGUUUGAUUUGCUAUUUUUAGUUUUUAAUUUUGUAAUACAUUUGGUAUAUCUGAAAAUACAAUUUUGAAAAUAAGGACAAAAUUAUAACAUAAAAUUCAAAACACAUUUUCCAUGUUUUGUCUGUUUUCAGUGAAAAUUAAAAGAUAUAAAAUUCUAACAAAUAAAAUUUUAUAUUUUAAAAAAUAUAAAAUAAAUAAUUUCUAAAAUUUAAAGUUAAAAGUUGAAAAAUAAAAUUGAAAAAAAUAAUUUUUUUUAAGCACUUAAUGAUUAUUUACAUAAAAAUUAAAAAAAAUUAAGUGAACACAUAUAAAAAUAUUCUUAGUCUACAUCAUUAAUCUUUAUUUUUAUUUUCUAUAUGUUAAAAUCAAUUUAUUAUUUAUUUUUAUUUUACUAUUAUAGCGAGACAAAACAUUGUAAGAUUCACCAACUUUAAAAUGUAUAUGUUACAUGAUAAUAAAAUGUCAUAAAUAAUUUUUCAAAAUUCAAAUCAAAUGUGUUUCUAGUUUUUUAUUUUGAAAAUUAAUUUUUCAAAAUGACAAACCAAAUGCGGUUUUAGUAAUUUUAAAAUAGACCCUCAAAACAAAUAACAGAAAAAUGAACUCAAAACUAAAAUACAAACCACUCUCAUGGAUGCAAAUUAUUCCUACGUUAUAUAAUUUUUUGUUAUUUCCCUUUUCUUCUUUGUUUGGCUAAGCUAAAAAAUUUUUAAAAAUUAAAUAAAAAUAAACGGAGGGUAAAAAAUAUUUUAAGCAAUAAUAUUAUAAAAGUUAUUUUAUCCUUGAGUAAAAAGAUCGAAGGCCUAUUCUUAGUUUAACCGUUCCAUCAAAAUCAUAAAAUCCACCACUUAUCGGCCUAUAUGCUCGAUCAACUCGAUGCAGCUGGGAUGUUUACCCCCAUACAAUCCAUCAGACUGACAAUUUUUUUCUUUCACUUUAUUUUGCUUACCCACACUAGAUUUAUAAAAUUAAUUAUAGGGUUACAAUAUGAAACAGUGCCAUUCCUCGUCCAUAAAGAGAUAUUUACAGAAUAUGAAUAUAAAUAAUUGUAUUUCUAUUUAGUUGAUAAUAGGGUUAACAUAUAUACAAAUGACAUUGUUAUUAAAGAUGCUAUAAUAUUGUCCAAAACUUCGUCCUUGCUCCUUUAUUUCCUUGUAAAUGCAGUCAUUUUUGCCAUUGGUUUUUAACAUAAAACAUUUUAUUUAAAGAUUACCAUAUGAGCUAAAUAGACGAUAUUUAAAAGCAUGUCCAUUGUAGGAUGACGUCCCACAAAAAAAUGGACAAUGUCUAGGUAAUGAUCUAGAUGCAGAGGCUUUGUUAAACAUUCUCGCUCAGCAAUUUAAUUGAUUAUGUUUCUCAUUUUAUUUUUUUUUAUAUAUAUCACAAUUUCUUUCCCUUUCACUCUAUUUUAUUAUUUGUAUUUUAAUGUUGAUAAAGGACAUUAUAUAUGCUAAAAUAUUGAAAUAUAGAUGAAACUCAUUAGAGAACAAUUAUAAACUUGAUGUCUAUUGUUAGAUAUCAAUUUCAAUUUUCAUAUCUACUAAAAAUCCAUAUAUUCAAAUGUCACAUGGGUCGCAAAUCACGAAAUGCAUUUAAGAUGCCAGAGUCAGUUCCAGUUGUCUCAAAUGGCUGAUGAGAUCCAGUAACUUAUUUUAACUUUAAAAUCAACUCAAUUAAUAGAGAAUAAUUAAAAAGGAGAAAGUAAACUGUAUAGAAGAUACGAUUAAAUAAUGAAAUACCUAAGCAUUAAUAUUUUUGUUCAUUUCUAGAACUGAAAAAUAAAAUAAAAUAUGGGAAAUCAACUCCUAGGCAAUAAUUAAAGACAGGUUAUAUUACCACCACAGUAAAUGGUACACCACAUUUUUCUUAUUUAUUUAAAUAAUAAUGAGUAAAAUAACAUAAAUAUUAUAUAUUAUUAGCUUAUAUAUUUAUUCAUUCCAUCACCAUCAUCCAUACACAUUGCAUUUUCAUUAUAAUAUACUAACGAUUAAUAGAUAUUAUUUUGCAAACAAUCUAAUGUAGUGUAUUUAGAUUACCUGUAAAUCUCAUUAGAAAUCUACAAAUAGGCUAGCUAAAACUUUGUUCAAACUUAAUUCAUUUUACUUAUAGUCAAUUGAUAUGGAAAGUUUCCUCAGCAAAAUUAUUUGAAUAUGAGUUUGCGUUCAACUUGUUCAAUUCAAACUCAUUCAAUAAGUCGUUAAUUUAUGAAACAAUUGAAAUCCGUAGUGAACACUGAAAUCCAAUCAAACUUUAAAUGACAAAUGAAAAAUUGAUGAAAAAGAAGCUGAACCUUUCCAGAUAAAACUCUACUUUCCAAAGAGUUCCAGUUGACUCAAUAACUCUUUAUAAAAUUGAUUAUUUUCUGCCAUAUACAUGUUCCUUAACAGAUUAAAAUUCAAACUAUAUGAACAUAAAUUUAUUUAAGCAACUAAAUUAAUUAUUUUUAUGCCAUAAUUAUAAUUCCACCUCAAGAUGGAUAUGAAGCUAACAAGGGCGCGGGUAUGCACGAAGAAUUCCUCCAUGCUCUUGCAUGCAAUUUAAGAAUUUCUCUGGCUCUCUCCUUUGUCUUUGAUCCUCGAUCAAAAACUUCCAGUACCAGGCACAAUUUUGCCACUGCUCCAAUCUGCAACAUUUCUUGUAAAACUCCAGGAGUUACUGAGAACUUCGAUAUCGAAUGUAGAAUUCUUAUUCCGCUCUCAUUUGCUGUAGAUGAAACCCUAAGAAUCGUCUUCGAAACAAUGGCUAAUCCUGCACUGUGAUUCAACAGUUCCGCUCUUCCCUCAGCGCAUUUGCAUAGCAAAUUCAGCGCCAUAAGCAUCAAUUCGGAAGCCCUUUUGUCAGAAGAAUCGAGUAAAAGGUGAAUCAACAAGGGCACUGCUCCAGCUUCCACUGCUUUAAUCCUGUUUUUUUCCCAUGGACAUACCUUGAUAAGAACUUUCAGUGUGACUUUUGAGACCUUCCGAGAGAUUUGAUCGUUCAAGAUAUCUACUAAUUCGUGGAAGAAUUCGGGUCUGAGACUGAUCGGUUGAUUUGGAUCAGCCACUUCGAACAUGGAUUCCAGAAACAUGACAGCAUAGACACGAGAAUCAUAGCUCCCGGAUUGCAUGACGCUCGUUAAGGACAGGAUUAAUUCGAUAUUAUUCCGCAAGAGGGAUUUGAGCCCGGAUCCCGAUAGCUGGAGAUUAUAGAGAAUACUCAAGGCUUCAUCACUUGCUCUUCUCAACUCAAUCACAUCUUCUGAUACUUCUGCUGAAGAUGCUUCUACGGUUUUCUUCACGAUUAACGAAGCUAAGAACUCAGCCGUGCCUGCUGUUUCCAUGCAUCUUUUAUUCGUUUCGUUGUGAGAAGCAAUGGAUCUGAGUCUCUGUAAGCACUUCGGUUGCUUGUUCGGAGAGUUGGCAUCAUUGAAAAGCUUCAAAAGUUGGGACUUACUGAUUGGAGCUUUCGGGGUUGGGAGCUUAUCGAUGCCUUCUGGAGCAUGGAGGGUGCACCAGGAUUGGAUAAACCGCCGGAGAAUAAUGUUUGGGAUCAAUUCUGAAUCCAUAACCACUUGCUUUGUUACCGGGCAAGUAUUAUUAUUCUGAGAAAACAGCCAUUUUUCGAUGCUCUCCCGAUCAUAUGUUAUACCGGUAGAGAGCGUAACAGGAUCCUUCAUAAUCUCUAGACUGAUGGGGCAGAGAAAGUAGGAUGGAAUUUCAAUUUCAUCCAUAGAAGAAGAAGUAAUUACAAAGAUCAAGAUUUGAUAAACCUAAGAUCUGAUCCAAAAGAGAAGGUGAUUAUACAAUUUUAAGCAAGAAAAUUAAGCUGAAGAGAAGUACAAAAUUUUUGUAAGCUAUAGAUGAAAAUCAAAGAAAGUGAAGUUCUUG